rnacentral:lncRNA from 1 species
UUUCUGCCAGUGCUCAGUCAACUAGCCAUGGUGAACCCUGCCGCCUACCUACAACAGCAACAACUGCUUUCAUCUAGCCCGCUCGCUAUGGCCAAUGCACCUACAUACCUGCAACAACAAUUGUUGCAACAUAUUGUACCAGCUCUGACUCAGCUAGCUAUGGCAAACCCUGCUGUCUACUUGCAACAGCUGCUUCCAUUCAACCAACUGACUGUGUCGAACUCUGCUACGUACCUACAACAUCGACAACACUUACUUAAUCCAUUGGCAGUGGCUAACCCAUUGGUCGUUGCCUUCCAACAGCAGCAACAAUUGCUGCCAUACAACCAGUUCUCUUUGAUGAACCAUGUCUUGUCGAGGCAGCAACCCAUCGUUGGAGGUGCCAUCUUUUAGAUUACAUAUGAGAUGUACUCGAUAAUGGUGCCCUCAUACCGGCAUGUGUUUCCUAGAAGUAAUCAAUAUAUUGAUUGAGAUUUAUCUCGAUAUAUUUCUGAACUAUGUCCAUCAUAUAAAUAAUUGAAAACAUCAAAUCGUAAUUAUAAACUCAUGCUUGGUCAAUACAUAGACAAUGCGAUAUUACUUCAACAUCCCAAUGAUGUCCUAGCCCAACCUCUUGAAUGUUACUGUUUUAACGCGUGAGGGUAUAUUUAUAAGAUAGACGUGACUAUUUGCGCUUUUUUUUAGUACAUACAUAUAUGGUAUGUUGAUUUGAUAUAGUGAUGGACACAUGCUUUGACCAUGAAUAUUUAAAUCAGUUGUACUUGCAUGAAGCAAAACAUAAUAUAAGUUUAGGAGUACACUUAUAACUGUGUCCAAUCAUGCUCACACAAAUUCAUACCACAUUAUAAUUUUUUGGUAAAUAUUCCACACAUGUAUUUUUUACAAGAACCCAAAUAUUGCAGACAAAUGCAGCAUUGUAGACAUGUAGAAUUAUUCGAAGCACGUGAACUUAACAACACCAAGGUCAUUAAGUCAACUGGACCCUAUGAGUAACAAUUUCGAUAUUGCAAACACCAAAUUAUAGAACUUAUUGGCUGAAAAUUUAUGAGCAAUGUGAACUUUAAAUUAUUAUACCAUAAAUAUAUCAAAUAAUUUUUUUUUGAGGAACGUAAAAAUUGCAUGGAAUGGGCUGCCCAACGUGCUAGCUCACUUCUAUGCUAGUUAGCAUUACCAAAGAUGGGAAUGUUGCUGAUGAACGCCAAACCCACUCAAAUAAUAUUUAUAGUUGGGUUGUUUAGUUGUAAAAGUGAAGACCCAAGAUAAAAGUACCAAUUGUCCAAUGACAUUCGAUUAUUUUGUUCGGGGAGCACUUGGUGCGUCAUUUGGACUCGUAUCUUAGUCCAAUAGAUUGCAUUUUCCUUCAAUGUGUAGAAUCCGACAAAGUGCAUGUUCUAAAAUUGUAAAUCUAACUAAAUUAGAAAGCUUGUUACUAAUUUGAUGGUUUAUUAGGUGUAGCUCAUAAAACUAGAACCAACAUAGCCUGCACUCACAUGUCAUAGAAAAUAGGACUAUCCAAGCACAAUUUGUGUGAGCAUCCAUGACACAAAUUAUAUAUAGUCUGAUAUAAUUAAUUCCUUCAAAAUAAAAAAGGAAAAAAUAAAGUGGUUUUUGAUACUGCAGGAUAUCUCCUUUAGCUAAUGAGGAGUACUAAAAAGUUGUUGCACUUUUGGGUGGCGAGAAUUCCUCAAUCAUAACUUUGACAUAAUUUUAAUCCAGAUCACAUAUAUAGCAUCAUAUCUUAAUUAUUAAAUUAUUAUGGUUCCAUCAUCGUAUUAUUAAUUCAAUAUGAUAUAACCAUCAAAUCUUAAUUAUUAAAUUAAUCUGGAGCGUACAUUAGAUUAUCAAACCAAAUCAACCCGACAUAACCAUCGAAUGUUCCGCUAUGCACCUUAAGCACAUGGUCUGGGGCUUAAUCAUCCGGAAUAACCAUCCGAUCUUCUAGUAAGCAUAGUAAGCGUAUGGUUCACGACUUCGUUAUCCGGAAUAACCAUCAGAUUUUCCAGUAUGCACUGAAAGCAAAUGAUCCGGGGUUUUGGUAGGUGAAACAUUGUUAGGUGAAUGCGGAUGCUGGCUGCUGUUGCACGUGUGAACUGCUGUGUGGAAGCUGCUGGGUCCUCCUCUAUUGUGUGUGGUUUGUGGCGGGCUUCGAAUGCUCUCAUGGCUUCGGUGCUUGGAACUGCUCGUACGUCCGGUCCUGCGUGCAUCUCUCUCUCCUGGCUGGAGGCGUGGUGGUGUGGCGGCUUGUCUGUGUUUUUCUUUUUACGGCGGCUUCUCGUGUUGGCUAGUGUUGGCGUCAGGGGCCCGGUCAGCUAUGCUCCCUCAGUUUUAUAGGCAGUGCACCACAGCAGGCAGAGCAGAGAUAAAGAUUCCAACUGCAUCCAUCUACAAACAAGGCUCUCGGCAGAAGGGAUAAAAGCAUGGAGCGCAAUUGUCGCUGCCCUGCUGCAGCCUUGACUCUCGUCAAUUGGAUGACCAAAAGAUGCCACCGUCUAAGCUCUUUUCUAUGUGCAGCUGCCUGUUUGUCACCAACACAAAAUAGUAGGUGCCUGUUUGACACCAAUUAUCCUCUACCACAAAGAACUACAAUAGUGAUGGAGGAUCCGAUCCGGCACAGAUCCACUAUAAUGCAUAUUGGGUGAUGCAUGCCUAAUGGUGGUUGUUUAGUGUUAGUUUGGGCAUGUUGGAACUAAGCAAUUGACGAUGCCAUACACUAGAAGUGAAGAAUGUUGUUAGCGUUAGGAGUUGAGGUGUCAAUGGGGACCAAUACCCGUUAAGCCAUGGAGAAUUUCUCUAUUAGAUUUAGGGUAUGGGAAAAAUUUUAUUUCCAUUUGCUGAUGUUAGGUAUACAUCUAUUUGAAUCAACAGUUACAGUUCAACAGAAACUCCUUCCGCUCUAGUUUGUUUCAUGUCCUAACUUUUUCCUAAACUAGUUUUUCCUAAAUUGACAUACUCUCUACAAAAUCUAUCCAAAUUUUGAAGAUCAAAUCUGUUCCAUUGAAUUAUUCAUGACAUAUAUCUUGGUAUUGCUUUUUGUCAUCAGAAUAUAUUUCGAACUCAGUAAAAGUUAUACACGAUUUUUUAGACAAUACUAAAGCAAGUUGUAAUCAAGAACACUUGAGGUGUGCGCCAAUUGCCACAUUUAGAUAUAAUCAUUCUAAUUUUGGUCAUCCUAUGUGUGUGCAUUCAUCUAUGCAUUCUAGGAUUUCAAUUAGUCUCAAUCUUGUAGUAUUUUUUCCUUCAUUGUCAAAUCACUUCUCAUCUAACUACUAUGCUUGUUUAACCAUUAGAACAUAAGUACAACAAUAUCCAUUUAGAAAGUUUUUGAUAGCAAACUUUACAUAUUCAUAUCAUGUUAAGGUUGUCACAUGUGUAAAGGUGAAGCGAUCAUGCAUGUCAUUCCACAUAGAUUAAAAAAAAUCCUAUAUAAAAAUGACAAUUUUUCUUGUAGGUAGUGGAAAGUAUCUUUCCAGCAAAGACUAUAUAUAUAAUCCGAUAAAGCCGAUAACUAAAUGUCAAAAUCGAGUAGAUGCCAUAUCAUCUAUACCUUAUCUGUUGUUUGGAAAAAAGACAAAAUCCAAAAAAAUAUAUAUGAGAUCUCACUUGUAUAAAUAGCUCCCAAAUCAGUAGUUAAUCCAUCACCUAUAAUAUUUUGAGCAUUCAGAAACACACCUAGGGAAGCGCACUAGCAACGACCUAACAACAAUGGCUACCAAGAUAUUAUCCCUCCUUGCGCUUCUUGCCCUUUUUGUGAGCGCAACAAAUGUGUUCAUUAUUCCACAAUGCUCACUUGCUCCUAGUGCCAUUAUUCCAAAGUUCCUCCCACCAGUUACUUCAAUGGGCUUCGAACACCCAGCUGUGCAAGCCUACAGGCUACAACAAGCGCUUGCGGCGAGCGUCUUACAACAACCAAUUGCCCAAUUACAACAACAAUCCUUGGCACAUCUAACAAUACAAACCAUCGCAACGCAACAGCAACAACAGUUCCUACCAGCACUGAGCCACCUAGCCAUGGUGAACCCUGCCGCCUACUUGCAACAACAACUGCUUGCAUCCAACGCACUUGCUCUGGCAAACGUAGUUGCAAACCAGCAACAACAAUAGCUGCAACUAUUUCUGCCAGCGCUCAGUCAACUAGCCAUGGUGAACCCUGCCGCCUACCUACAACAGCAACAACUGCUUUCAUCUAGCCCGCUUGCUGUGGCCAAUGCACCUACAUACCUACAACAACAAUUGUUGCAACAUAUUGUACCAGCUCUGACUCAGCUAGUUGUGGCAAACCCUGCUGCCUACUUGCAACAGCUGCUUCCAUUCAACCAACUGACUGUGUCGAACUCUGCUGCGUACCUACAACAGCGACAACAGUUACUUAAUCCACUUGCAGUGGCUAACCCAUUGGUCGCUGCCUUCCUACAUGUCACACCCGGUUUUAAAAAGGCAAACCGAAUGCGAACCAUGUACGUGCCAGGAUCAGUUAUUCACGUACACAGCAGUUACAUAAUAUGGACAUCAUCACACAGUGCUCAAAAUAGUAUUAAUAAGGGAAAUAGUAGAUUACAUCAUACGUCUGAGACGUCCAUAUAGUUCUUACAAUAAAUCAAAGUGCGGAAAAGAAACGUAGAUAACGCGGCCUUCACAGGCAGCCGACUGGGGGUUGCCGCUAACCCACACCUAGAACUCGUCGUAAUCUUGGAACUCCUGGAAGUCUCCUUCCACAGCUUCAUCUUCGCCUGAGCAGUGGUUGCAAUGCUGACAACCUGGGGGGGGGGGGGUUUGGUGUGUAGAGCAAGGGUGAGUACACAUCAACAUACUCAGCAAGUAUCCUGUUUGGCUGUAGUGGACUAGCUUUAUGUGGGGAUAAGUCAAGCAGUUGCUUUUAGUUGGUCAGGUUAUUACUUACUAGUAGAAAGCCAAGUUUUAGCAUUAACCCAAGUUAUUAACCCAAUGUAUCCUUUCCAAACGGAAAGAAUACCACUUACCAGCACCAUAACCAUAACCAGAACCAUCAAUCUCAUAACCACCUGUACCACAAUGUCUCUGAUCAAGUACCACUAAUCAUUGGAGCUCCCUUGGCCGCUCAUAACCGCGAGCACGGCUGAUAUAUCAGUUUCAUAACACUCUGCAGAGGUUGUGCACUUUACCCACAAGCCGUGAUUCCCAUUCUGCCCGGAGAUCAUGACUCUCCAUUGAUCACUACCAAGGUGAUCCAGCAGGGCAUCACUACGAAGCCUUUACAAAGAUUCCCCGGGACUGCAGCCACCCGUUAGGUUUCCUAAAUGCACCGCACUCCUCCCCAAGGGGCGAACCCAAACUUGGCAGAGCGAGCCGCAUACACCGAGCCCCAUUGACGGCACGACGGCUAAGUGAACUACACCCCGGAUCCUCUAAUUAUUCAGCUAAGGGCACCCCAUUCCACCCUCAUGGUUGCACUGUUUUCCCGGGCGGUCAUCCAUAGAACAGGUCCUUACGGAGAGGCACUCGAGAAACCGCUCGAGUCCCCUUGAAAACCACAAGUAUAAUCAUAAAGAAGAACGGGAAAACAGCGUAUCAUAGAUAAUCACAUCAUGUUCAUUGAUUAGAGUUGAGCAAUAGCAUCAGACUAAGUAGUAAUAAUCCGACCCAAAUAGGUAAACAAGGACAUGGAUAACAAAAGCUAGUCAAUCCUUAGGUAUAAAUGUGUAAUGCGGGAGGUGAAUUAAAGAAUGAAUAGGACAUAGAUAGGUCAAAGGACACUUGCCUCCACCAAACGACUGCUGCUCAGGGGCUUCUCCUGCGAAUUCCUCGGGCUCUUCGACUGGAUCGUUCUCUAUGCGAGCGCAAACAUACAUACAUACAUCCACAUAUUUAAUACAAAAGAACAGUACACCAUACAAGAUAACAAAUAAAGCGAAUAUGCAUCAAGUAUGACAUUCGAUAACGCAUUUGUUAUGGUCAGAAAGAAACGGGAAAGGUCUCGCAGGGGGGGUUAAAUCUUAUGCACUAACGAUCAAUUACAAUUGGUUUUUAACAAAAUAAUUCUGCUACAUAUACACUAAUGGAAACCUAAUCACUUUUAGUUGAUCAACAUUGCACAGGGUAAACAAUUAACUACGUGCGUCAAUAGCAUAACGGAAUUUUAAAUUAAACUUCCUAUUUUCCCAUAGCAUGAACAGUGAUUAGCCUACUUAAAAUACAGUAAUUAUGAUCACAGAAAGUAAAUAAAAUAAAAUAAAAAAAAAUAAAAAAAAAAACAGAGGGGGGGGCGGUUGAACCGGCCCUAGGGCGGUUGAACCGGCCCUAGGCGGGGCGCGGGCGCGGGCGGCGCAGGGGGCGGCCGAACCGGGGGGCGGGGGGCGGCGCAGGGGGCGGCCGAGCCGGGGGGCGGGGCGGCCGAACCGGCGGGGCAGGGGGGCGGGUAGGGGGCGGCCGAGCCGGGGGGCGGGGCGGCCGAACCGGCGGGCAGGGAGGCGGCCGAACCGGCCAUGGGGAGAGGGGAUGGGGGAGGGAGGAGAGGGGGAGGGGGAAGCUCACCGGCGACGGGGACGGGGCGGCCGAGCGGGGCGGCCGAACGGCGACGGGGAGGGGCGGCGGCCUAGGCAGGGGCGGCGGCUAGGGCAGGGGGCGGGUAGGGGGCGGCGGCUUGGGUGGGGAGGGAGAAAAUGAGGGGGGAGAGGGAGAGGGUUAGGGGAUAAGGGAAAGAGGGGGGGGGCGGCUGGGCCUACUAGGCCCAAGAGGGGGGCGCCAGGGGGCGGCUGGGCCGGCCGGGGUCGGCCCACGGCGCGGGAGAGAGAGAAAAAAAAGGAGAGAGAAAGAGAGAGAGAAAAGAGAAAGAAAAGAGAAAGAAAACAUUUUCGAAAUCCGAUCUUUCUACAUGAAUGCAUUUGCACUUUCAAAGCAAUCAAAAGAAAUGCAAGGUUCGGCAUGGUGCAUCAAACAACAUAAAGUAUUUAGGGUUUUUAUACAUACGGGAAUUCCAAACCGAAUCCCGCUAGAACUUUGGAAAAGGUCAAGGUUUAGCGAGGGAAAAAGAAAAAGAAAAGGUAACGCCCGAAUUUUGGCGAGUAAAGAAAAGAAAAAAAAUUCAACUGCAAAAAUUCGGGGCGUUACAAACCUAUCCCCCUUAAAAGAAUCUCGCCCUCGAGAUUCAGGGCUGGCUAGCAAAGAGCUCCGGGUACUUGGCCUUCAGAUCAUCUUCACGCUCCCAGGUUGCUUCUUCCUCAGAGUGGUGACUCCAUCUGACUUUGCACAUUCUGACGGUCUUCCUUCGGGUGACUCUGUCUGCAAUCUCAAGGAUCUGAGCUGGCUUCUCAACGUAGGUCAAGUCCUCCUGGACUUCCAGACCUUCCACUGGCAACUGCUCUUCCGGCACACGCAAGCACUUCUUCAACUGAGACACAUGAAAGACAUCAUGCACAGCAGACAAAUUCUCUGGCAGACUGAGCUGAUAGGCCACUUCUCCACGUCUUGCAAGAAUCUGAUACGGACCAAUGUAGCGGGGUGCUAGCUUGCCUUUCACUCCGAAUCUUCUGACUCCUCUGAUCGGUGACACUUUCAGAUAGACAAAGUCUCCGACUUCGAAACUCAGCUCUCUUCUUCUUGUGUCUGCAUAGCUUCGCUGCCUUGAUUGCGCUAUCUUCAGAUUCUCUCGGACCAUCUUGACGUUCUCUUCGGCUUCGAGCAAAAUGUCUGGCCCAAACACUUGCUUUUCCCCAGGCUGAUCCCAUUGCAACGGAGUUCUGCAACUCCUUCCAUACAGCGCUUGAAAUGGUGACAUCUUCAAACUGGCCUGGUAACUGUUGUUAUAGGAAAACUCCGCAUAAGGCAAUCGCUUGUCCCAUCCGGACUGAUCUUGCAACGCACAUGCUCUCAACAUAUCUUCAAGAAUUUGAUUGGUUCUUUCGGUCUGGCCAUCUGUCUGCGGGUGGUAAGCUGAACUGAAAUUCAGAUGCGUGCCCAAGGCUUCAUGCAACUGCUGCCAGAAAUGAGAGGUGAACUGCGUUCCUCUGUCUGACACUAUCUUCUUUGGCACACCAUGAAGACAAACGAUCCGAGACAUAUACAAUUCUGCCAAUACUGCACUGUUGUAGUUGGUCUUGACAGGUAUGAAGUGGGCUGACUUGGUCAAGCGGUCCACUACUACCCAAAUGGAAUCGUAGCCGGCUCGAGUGCGAGGCAAUCCGACUAUGAAAUCCAUACCAAUUUCAUCCCAUUUCCACUGAGGGAUCUGCAACGGUUGCAACAAUCCAGCUGGUCUCUGGUGUUCUGCCUUAAUUCUUCGACAACUAUCGCACAUAGCCACAUGCUCUGCGAUUUCCCUUUUCAUUCCGUACCACCAGAAUUUCUUCUUCAGAUCCUGAUACAUCUUCUCACUGCCAGGGUGAAUCGAAUAGGCUGUCUCAUGAGCUUCCUUGAGAAUCAACUCCCGAAUAGACUGGACAUUGGGAACACACAAGCGGUCUUUGAACCAUACCACACCUUCUGCAUCUUCUCGAAAGUCUUUGCCUCUGCCAUCUAGAAUCAAUCGCCGAAUCUCACUGAUCUUCUCAUCAUUUUUCUGCGCUUCUUUGAUUUCGCGCUCCAAGGUAGGUUCCAAUUCAACUGUGACUCCUCGAGAAUUGUUUAGAAAUCCGAGACUCAACCUGUCAAACUCCUUGGCCAACUCAUAAGGCAUCGGACGAGCGACCAUCAGAUUGACUUGACUCUUUCUGCUCAAAGCAUCUGCCACUACGUUUGCUUUGCCUGGAUGGUAAUGAAUCUCCAACUCAUAGUCUUUGAUCAAUUCUAACCAUCUUCGUUGCCUCAUGUUCAAUUCUGAUUGAGUGAAUAUGUACUUCAGACUCUUGUGGUCUGUGUAAACAUCGCAUUUCUGUCCAUACAGAUAGUGCCUCCAUGUCUUCAGUGCGUGAACCACUGCUGCCAACUCUAGAUCAUGGAUGGGGUAGUUCUUCUCAUGAACCUUCAGCUGUCGGGACGAGUAAGCCACAACUCUUCCCUCUUGCAUCAACACACAUCCCAAACCUGUGUAACAAGCAUCACAAUACACCGAGAAGGGCUUGUGCACAUCAGGCAAGACUAGGACAGGCGCUGUUGUCAACUUCUCUUUCAGCGCUUCAAAGGCCUCUUGGCAUUUCUGGGUCCACUUGAACUCAACCUUGUUGCCUAGCAACGCUGUCAUUGGCUUCGCAAUCUUCGAAAACCCUUUAAUGAAUCGCCGAUAAUAUCCGGCCAUUCCAAUGAAGCUCUUGAUUCCUCUAGCAUCUGUUGGUGCUUUCCAGUUCAGAAUGUCUGCCACUUUCUUCGGAUCCACAGUCAAUCCUUCUUUGUUGAUUAUGUGACCCAAGAACAGGACUUCACUGAUCCAGAACUCACACUUGCUCAACUUUGCAUACAACUGGUGCUCUCGCAAUCUCUGCAACACCAUCCUCAAAUGAUCUGCAUGCUCUUCUUCACUUUGAGAAUAAACCAGAAUGUCAUCAAUGAAUACCACCACGAACUUAUCAAGAUAAUCCAUGAAUACACUGUUCAUCAAGUUCAUAAAGAAUGCUGGCGCAUUGGUCAAACCAAAAGACAUCACUGUGAACUCAUAUAAACCAUACUUGGUAAUGAAUGCCGUCUUCGGAAUGUCCGAAGGUCGGAUCCUGAGCUGAUGAUAACCUGACCUCAGAUCGAUCUUGGAGAACACACUGGCUCCUCUCAACUGGUCGAACAGAUCUUCUAUUCUGGGCAAAGGAUACUUGUUCUUGAUCGUGACCUCAUUCAAAGCUCGAUAGUCGAUACACAUCCUCUUGGUACCAUCUUUCUUCUCCACAAACAAGACAGGGGCGGCCCAAGGCGAGGUGCUUGGCCGGAUGUAACCUUUUUCUGACAGCUCAUCAAUCUGCUUCUUAAGCUCAUCCAACUCUGGUCCAGAUAUUCUGUAAGCUCUCUUGAAGAUAGGGGCGGUUCCAGGAAGAAGCUCUAUGGCAAAUUCAACUUUCCGCUCUGGUGGCAUACCCGGUAAAUCCUUUGGAAACACAUCUGGGAAUUCGGACACAACCUUGAUACUCUCAAUCGGGUCUGCUUCACUGCUAUCGACAGUCAUCUGAUAACAACUUCCUUUCUUUGGCUCAGGCGGGACUAACUCAGUCACCACUUCCUCUCCUAGUGGGGACACUAACUUGAUUGUCCUUUUAUCACAACUGAUAACUGCCUGAUACUUAUCUAGCCAAUUCAUCCCUAGGAUGACAUCUAUUCCCUGAGUACCCAUUACUAUAAGGUUGGCGGGAAACGCUAUCCCCCUUAUUUUCACACUUAUAUUCAAACAAAUGCUAUCGGCUCGAAUUCUACCACCGGCUGAAUCAAUUUGAAUGGGGGUUGACAUGGUAGUUAUUGGAAGUUUAUGUGCUUCUACCCAUGAUGCAGUAAUGAAAGAAUGUGUUGCUCCAGUAUCAAAUAACACUUCUGCAAUAUGGGAGUCGACUGGGAACAUACCUACUGUCAUGCCGGGGGUCUCCUGAACUGCUUCAGCUUCCAAGUGGUUCAAUCUUCCAUGAUUAUAGCGCUGCUGAGAGCGAUUGCCUGCUCCAGGCUGAGACACAUUCUGCUUUGCUGGGGCAUUGGGGCCUGACUGCUGCUGGGCUGCCUUCUUUGGACAUUGCAUCACCCAAUGGCCUUGCUCUCCACAGUGGAAACAUGCCCUGUUUCCAACCUGAGCUGGUGCUGCCUGACUGUUCUGCUGAUUUGCUGGGGCAGGAAGACGAGGUGCUUGCUGAUUCUGCCUUUGAAACUGACCUCCUGACUGAUUGCUCUGACGGUUCUGGUACUGAUUCUGAGGGUACUGCCUUUGGAACUGCUGAUACUGCUGACGCUGCUGAUGCUGCUGAGGUGGACGCUGGUUCUGCCUGAACUGCUGAGGUUGAUUGCCUGAAAAGCGAGGGCGACUGCUGCUUCCAGACUGCGGUCCACUGAUCUUGCGCUUACGAUCUUCCAUCUCCUUGCGCUUCCUUUCUGUCAUGAUUGCUCUGUCAAUCAGGUGCUGGAAUGUCGGGAAGGUGUGAUUCAUCAGCUGAUACUGCAGAGGGUCAACCAAGCCUCUCAGGAAACGGUACUGUCGCUUGGCGUCGGUGUUGACAUCUUCAGGAGCAUAGCGAGACAAUUGCAGAAACUUGUCCCGGUACUCACUGACAGACAAUGGCCCUUGCUUAAGGGCCAGGAACUCCUCCUUCUUCACUGUCAUCAGACCUGCAGGCACAUGGUACUGACGAAAGCUACCCCUGAAUUCUUCCCAGGUGAUGGUGUCGGGGUUGGCAUGGGUGGCGAGGUAAGACUCCCACCAUGACUGGGCUGCUCCUCUCAACAGACGGGGACCAUACAGAACUUUCUCCCUGUCAUCGCACUGAGCGGUAUGCAACUCCCGCUCCACAGUGCGCAGCCAAUCUUCAGCAUCCAUGGGGUCAGAAGAGUGAGCGAACGUUGGUGGAUGACCUCUCAUGAAUUCAGCACGCUUAUCUCUAGGCAUCUGAGGCAUCUGAGGCUGGGGUGGUGCUUGCUGCUGUUGCUGCUGCUGCUGCUGCUGAAUGGCGGCCAAAGUCUGACCGAUGGCUUGAACUGCCUGAGUCUGCAUCAGAAACAUCUGCUCAAUCGACAUCGGGGGCGGGGGCGGCAGGUGCUGCUGCUGGGGCACCUCAUCCUGCGGAGCGGCUCGCUCCUGCUGAGCACGCCUUCCUCCUCUACGCCUGUUCUCUGACAUCUGCAGAACGCAACCACACAUCAGAACUGAUCUGGCAAAUCUUGCAGCAUAAGGAAAGAGAAUAGAAUUCUUCAACAGCACUGGGCAGGUGAGCAUCUUCACUGAUCUCCAACACAGACCACACAUCUUCUCAGAUAAAGAGGAAAGGAGAAUAAUGGGUUUCCCAACUAUAUAACUAACUUUAUUGACAUAGUAUGUAAACCAAAAUGCAGGGGAUACCCACACUCUGGUGACAAUCAUUACAAAGAUCCAAACCAAACAUAGUUCAUCAUGACAAGCAUAAAUGCACAGGAUAUAGCAAACUACCCUGUCUAACUAAAACUAACUAAGACCGAGACUAACGCUAAGACUGAAGCUUCUAUGUAUAUAUUUAUUUCGUAUUAAUUACAAGAUCCAGCUCUAACGAUCUAUGGUUCUAGAGUUAUCUUGGUCUUGCAGGCGGGAUUGCCAUAAGACUGGUGUCCACGCUGAGGUGAGCGGUACGGGUGCUGAGUCCCAACGGGAGCGGGGGAACCACCAUCCAGAAAACGACGUUCCGCGCGCUCAGCCCGCAGCAGGGCGAUCUCAGCACGAGCCCUACUCAGCUCGUCUAAUGCAUGGUCCAGCUCCGUGUUUAGCACGGCGGCUAGGUUGACUGUGCUGCUCAACCUAGGAUUGCCCUCACCGACAGGUGAGACAAUCACGCCUCCUGUGCUGCCAGAUGAACGGCGGGGGUAAUACUUCAGGUCAAGACCGUCAGCUGCCCCACCGAAAACCGAGCAGUAGUGCGAAAGCGCACGCCGUGCAGCAUCUUGCAUGGCUGCCUCAGCUGAGUCCCGCUCAGAGAUAGAAUAGUACUCUGAACAGGCCUCUGCACCCUGGAGACUGUCCUCCGGGCAGCGCACCAAGCAAGUCGCCUCCCAGCGGUCCGGGUAGACCCCGCGACUAUGCUGGUAGACCACACAGCGAUACUCGACGGACCAAGUAUGCCGGUCAAAUGCCCGACGUAGCAGGGUGUCGAGCGCAUCAUGGAAGUGACACCCGCGAGCAGCGUCGCGAGUGAUGGGUCGAGCAACCCAUCCUUCCGGCUCAGGAUUAGCAGAGAAGUCGGUGUCGUGGCUCGAGCUGUCGUCGCCAUCUCCGUCGUCUGGGUCUCCUCCAGCAGCUACUCCAGAAGCUGGGGCGCCCAGUGGUGGUGCAGGGGGCGGCUCCAGAGAAAGCACAGGGGAGCAGCUCCUCACAGACUCUAUCUCCUGGUGGAGCGAGAGGGAAGAGCUCCGCUGCUCCUGUCGUCGACGCUCCUGCUCCUCACGCAGGCGGUGGUGUAGUCUCUCCAAGUGGCUGGACUGUCCGGCCACGGGACGGCGAAGCGGACGCUCAGCAAGGCGGGAGGGUAAGAAGGGGAUGACUGACUUUCGUGCAGUGUGUCUAAGUCGAGCCAUCUACAAAAGACAUCGCAAGCAAAAGGGUGAGAACAGAAUUAAUAUGACCAGCAAGUAAUAAGUAAAUGAAGGAUCAGAAUAAAACAUAAUUUUCAGCAAGGUAUAAUAUGUAGUAGAACAUAGGUUUGGUCAGUAGGACCAACUUUUGAAGGGAUAUCAAAGUCAAGGAAGAGACAGAGGUCUAUAGUCCUUAGAACGACCAUUCUACUCUAGGUUAGCGGUCCUACAGUCAGCACGGCUCUGAUACCACUUAUGUCACACCCGGUUUUAAAAAGGCAAACCGAAUGCGAACCAUGUACGUGCCAGGAUCAGUUAUUCACGUACACAGCAGUUACAUAAUAUGGACAUCAUCACACAGUGCUCAAAAUAGUAUUAAUAAGGGAAAUAGUAGAUUACAUCAUACGUCUGAGACGUCCAUAUAGUUCUUACAAUAAAUCAAAGUGCGGAAAAGAAACGUAGAUAACGCGGCCUUCACAGGCAGCCGACUGGGGGUUGCCGCUAACCCACACCUAGAACUCGUCGUAAUCUUGGAACUCCUGGAAGUCUCCUUCCACAGCUUCAUCUUCGCCUGAGCAGUGGUUGCAAUGCUGACAACCUGGGGGGGGGGUUUGGUGUGUAGAGCAAGGGUGAGUACACAUCAACAUACUCAGCAAGUAUCCUGUUUGGCUGUAGUGGACUAGCUUUAUGUGGGGAUAAGUCAAGCAGUUGCUUUUAGUUGGUCAGGUUAUUACUUACUAGUAGAAAGCCAAGUUUUAGCAUUAACCCAAGUUAUUAACCCAAUGUAUCCUUUCCAAACGGAAAGAAUACCACUUACCAGCACCAUAACCAUAACCAGAACCAUCAAUCUCAUAACCACCUGUACCACAAUGUCUCUGAUCAAGUACCACUAAUCAUUGGAGCUCCCUUGGCCGCUCAUAACCGCGAGCACGGCUGAUAUAUCAGUUUCAUAACACUCUGCAGAGGUUGUGCACUUUACCCACAAGCCGUGAUUCCCAUUCUGCCCGGAGAUCAUGACUCUCCAUUGAUCACUACCAAGGUGAUCCAGCAGGGCAUCACUACGAAGCCUUUACAAAGAUUCCCCGGGACUGCAGCCACCCGUUAGGUUUCCUAAAUGCACCGCACUCCUCCCCAAGGGGCGAACCCAAACUUGGCAGAGCGAGCCGCAUACACCGAGCCCCAUUGACGGCACGACGGCUAAGUGAACUACACCCCGGAUCCUCUAAUUAUUCAGCUAAGGGCACCCCAUUCCACCCUCAUGGUUGCACUGUUUUCCCGGGCGGUCAUCCAUAGAACAGGUCCUUACGGAGAGGCACUCGAGAAACCGCUCGAGUCCCCUUGAAAACCACAAGUAUAAUCAUAAAGAAGAACGGGAAAACAGCGUAUCAUAGAUAAUCACAUCAUGUUCAUUGAUUAGAGUUGAGCAAUAGCAUCAGACUAAGUAGUAAUAAUCCGACCCAAAUAGGUAAACAAGGACAUGGAUAACAAAAGCUAGUCAAUCCUUAGGUAUAAAUGUGUAAUGCGGGAGGUGAAUUAAAGAAUGAAUAGGACAUAGAUAGGUCAAAGGACACUUGCCUCCACCAAACGACUGCUGCUCAGGGGCUUCUCCUGCGAAUUCCUCGGGCUCUUCGACUGGAUCGUUCUCUAUGCGAGCGCAAACAUACAUACAUACAUCCACAUAUUUAAUACAAAAGAACAGUACACCAUACAAGAUAACAAAUAAAGCGAAUAUGCAUCAAGUAUGACAUUCGAUAACGCAUUUGUUAUGGUCAGAAAGAAACGGGAAAGGUCUCGCAGGGGGGGUUAAAUCUUAUGCACUAACGAUCAAUUACAAUUGGUUUUUAACAAAAUAAUUCUGCUACAUAUACACUAAUGGAAACCUAAUCACUUUUAGUUGAUCAACAUUGCACAGGGUAAACAAUUAACUACGUGCGUCAAUAGCAUAACAGAAUUUUAAAUUAAACUUCCUAUUUUCCCAUAGCAUGAACAGUGAUUAGCCUACUUAAAAUACAGUAAUUAUGAUCACAGAAAGUAAAUAAAAUAAAAUAAAAAAAAAUAAAAAAAAAACAGAGGGGGGGGCGGUUGAACCGGCCCUAGGGCGGUUGAACCGGCCCUAGGCGGGGCGCGGGCGCGGGCGGCGCAGGGGGCGGCCGAACCGGGGGCGGGGGCGGCGCAGGGGGCGGCCGAGCCGGGGGGCGGGGCGGCCGAACCGGCGGGGCAGGGGGGCGGGUAGGGGGCGGCCGAGCCGGGGGGCGGGGCGGCCGAACCGGCGGGCAGGGAGGCGGCCGAACCGGCCAUGGGGAGAGGGGAUGGGGGAGGGAGGAGAGGGGGAGGGGGAAGCUCACCGGCGACGGGGACGGGGCGGCCGAGCGGGGCGGCCGAACGGCGACGGGGAGGGGCGGCGGCCUAGGCAGGGGCGGCGGCUAGGGCAGGGGGCGGGUAGGGGGCGGCGGCUUGGGUGGGGAGGGAGAAAAUGAGGGGGGAGAGGGAGAGGGUUAGGGGAUAAGGGAAAGAGGGGGGGGGCGGCUGGGCCUACUAGGCCCAAGAGGGGGGCGCCAGGGGGCGGCUGGGCCGGCCGGGGUCGGCCCACGGCGCGGGAGAGAGAGAAAAAAAAGGAGAGAGAAAGAGAGAGAGAAAAGAGAAAGAAAAGAGAAAGAAAACAUUUUCGAAAUCCGAUCUUUCUACAUGAAUGCAUUUGCACUUUCAAAGCAAUCAAAAGAAAUGCAAGGUUCGGCAUGGUGCAUCAAACAACAUAAAGUAUUUAGGGUUUUUAUACAUACGGGAAUUCCAAACCGAAUCCCGCUAGAACUUUGGAAAAGGUCAAGGUUUAGCGAGGGAAAAAGAAAAAGAAAAGGUAACGCCCGAAUUUUGGCGAGUAAAGAAAAGAAAAAAAAUUCAACUGCAAAAAUUCGGGGCGUUACACUACAGCAGCAACAAUUGUUGCCAUACAACCAGUUCUCUUUGAUGAACCCUGUCUUGUCGAGGCAGCAACCCAUCGUUGGAGGUGCCAUCUUUUAGAUAACAUAUGAGAUGUACUCGAUAAUGGUGCCCUCAUACCGGCAUGUGUUUCCUAGAAAUAACCAAUAUAUUGAUUGAGAUUUAUCUCGAUAUAUUUCUGAACUAUGUCCAUCAUAUAAAUAAUUGAAAACAUCAAAUCGUAAUUAUAAACUCAUGCUUGGCCAAUACAUAGACAAUGCGAUAUUACUUCAACAUCCCAAUGAUGUCCUAGCCCAACCUCUUGAAUGUUAGUGUUUUAAUGUGUGAGGGUAUAUUUAUAAGAUAGACGUGACUAUUUGCGCUUUUUCAGUACAUACACAUAUGGUAUGUUGAUUUGAUAUAGUGAUGGACACAUGCUUUGACCAUGAAUAUUCAAAUCAGUUGUACUUGCACGAAGCAAAACAUAAUAUAAGUUUAGGAGUACACUUAUAACUGUAUCCAAUCAUGCUCACACAAAUUCAUACCACAUUAUAAUUUUUUGGUAAAUAUUCCACACAUGUACUUUUUACAAGAACCCAAAUUUUGCAAACAAAUGUAGCAUUGUAGACAUGUAGAAUUCUUUGAAGCACGUGAACUUAACAACAUCAAGGUCAUUAAAUCAACUAGACCCUAUGAGUAACAAUUUCGAUAUUGCAAACACCAAAUUAUAGAACUUAUUGGCUGAAAAAUUAUGAGCAAUGUGAACUUUAAAUUAUUAUACCAUAAAUAUAUCAAAGAAUUUUUUUAGGAACGUAAAAAUUGCAUGGAAUGGGCUGCCCAACGUGCUAGCUCACUUCUAUGCUAGGCAGCAUUACCAAAGAUGGGAAUGUUGCUGAUGAACGCCAAACCCACUCAAAUAAUAUUUAUAUUUGGGUUGUUUAGUUGUAAAAGUGAAGACCCAAGAUAAAAGUACCAAUUGUCCAAUGACAUUCGAUUAUUUUGUUCGGGGAGCACUUGGUGCGUCAUUUGUACUCGUAUCUUAGUCCAAUAGAUUGUAUUUUCCUUCAAUGUGUAGAAUCCGACAAAGUGCAUGUUCUAAAAUUGUAAAUCUAACUAAAUUAGAAAGCUUGUUACUAAUUUGAUGGUUUAUUAGGUGUAGCUCAUAAAACUAGAACCAACAUAGCCUGCACUCACAUGUCAUAGAAAAUAGGAGUAUCCAAGCACAAUUUGUGUGAGCAUCCAUGACACAAAUUAUAUAUAGAGUGAUAUAAUUAAUUCCUUCAAAAUAAAAAAAGGAAAAAAUAAAGUGUUUUUUGAUACUGCAGGAUAUCUCUUUUAGCUAAUGAGGAGUACUAAAAAGUUGUUGCACUUUUGGGUGGCGAGAAUUCCUCAAUCAUAACUUUGACAUAAUUUUAAUCCAGAUCACAUAUAUAGCAUCAUAUCUUAAUUAUUAAAUUAAUAUGGUUCCAUCAUCGUAUUAUUAAUUCAAUCUGAUAUAACCAUCAAAUCUUAAUUAUUAAAUUAAUCUGGAGCAUACAUUAGAUUAUCAAACCAAAUCAACCCGACAUAACCAUCGAAUGUUUCGCUAUGCGCCUUAAGCGCAUGGUCUCAGGCUUAAUCAUCCGGAAUAACCAUUCGAUCUUCUGGUAAGCAUAGUAAGCGUAUGGUUCAUGGCUUCGUCAUCCGGAAUAACCAUCAUAUUUUCCGGUAUGCACUGAAAGCAAAUGAUCCGGGGUUUUGGUAGGUGAAACGUUGUUAGGUGAAUGCGGAUCCUGGCUGCUGUUGCACGUGUGAACUGCUGUGUGGAAGCUGCUGGGUCCUCCUCUAUUUUGCGUGGUUUGUGGCAGGCUUGGAAUUCUCUCAUGGCUUCGGUGCUUGGAACUGCUCGUACGUCCGGUCCUGCGUGCAUCUCUCUCUCUCUCCUGGCUGGAGGUGUGGUGGUCUGGCGGCUUGUCUGUGUUUUUCUUUUUACGACGGCUUCUCGUGUUGGCUAGGGUUGGCGUCAGGGGCCCGGUCAGCUAUGCUCCCUCUGCUUUUAUAGGCAGUGCACCACAGCAGGCAGAGCAGAGAUAAAGAUUCCAACUGCAUCCAUCUACAAACAAGGCUCUCGGUGGAAGGGAUAAAAGCAUGCAUCGCAAUUGCCGCUGCCCUGCUUUAGCCUUGAGUCUCGUCAAUUGGAUGACCAAAAGAUGUCACCGUCUAAGCUCUUUUCUUUGUGCAGCUGCCUGUUUGUCACCAACACAAAAUUGUAGGUGCAUGUUUGACACCAAUUAUCCUCUACCACAAAGAACUACAAUAGUGAUGGAGGAUCUGAUCCGGCACUGAUCCACUAUAAUGCAUAGUGGGUGAUGCAUGUCUAAUGGUGGUUGUUUAGUGUUAGUUUGGGCAUGUUGGAACUAAGCAAUUGUCGAUGCCAUACACUAGAUGUGAAGAAUGUUGUUAGCGUUAGGAGUAGAGGUGUCAAUGGGGACCGAUACCCGUUAAGCCAUGGAGAAUUUCUCUAUUAGAUUUAGGGUAUGGGAAAUUUUUUAUUUCCAUUUGCUGAAGUUAGGUAUACAUCUAUUUGAAUCAAUAGUUACAGUUCAACAGAAACUCCUUCCGCUCUAGUUUGUUUCAUGUCCUACCUUUUUCCUAAACUAGUGUUUCCUAAAUUGACAUACUCUCUAGAAAAUCUAUCCAAAUUUUGAAGAUCAAAUAUGUUCCAUUGAAUUAUUCAUGACAUAUAUCUUGGUAUUGCUUUUUGUCAUCAGAAUAUAUUUUGAACUCAGUAAAAGUUAUACACGAUUUUUUUAGACAAUACUAAAGCAAGUUGUAUCAAGAACACUGGAGGUGUGCGCCAAUUGCCACAUUUAGAUAUAAUCAUUCUAAUUUUGGUCAUCCUAUGUGUGUGCAUUCAUCUAUGCAUUCUAGGAUUUCAAUUAGUCUCAAUCUUGUAGUAUUUGUUCCUUCAUUGUCAAAUCACUUCUCAUCUAACUACUAUGCUUGUUUAACCAUCAGAACAUAACUACAACAAUAUCCAUUUAUAAAGGUUUUGAUAGCAAACUUUACAUAUUCAUAUCAUGUUAAGGUUGUCACAUGUGUAAAGGUGAAGAGAUCAUGCAUGUCAUUCCACGUAGAUGAAAAGAAUUCCUAUAUAAAAUGACACCUUUUCUUGUAGGUAGUGGAAAGUAUCUUUCCAGCAAAGACCAUAUAAUCCGAUAAAGUUGAUAACUAAAUGUCAAAAUAGAGUAGAUGCCAUAUCAUAUAUACCUUAUCUGUUGUUUGGAAAAAAAAGACUAAAUCCCAAAAAUAUAUAUGAGAUCUCACUUGUAUAAAUAGCUCCCAAAUUAGUAGUUAACCAUCACCCAUAAUAUUUUGAACAUUCAGAAACACACCUAGCGAAGCGCACUAGCAACGACCUAACAACAAUGGCUACCAAGAUAUUAUCCCUCCUUGCGCUUCUUGCCCUUUUUGUGAGCGCAACAAAUGCGUUCAUUAUUCCACAAUAUUAGUUAUACUCUUAAUGUCACGAUGUAUAUGUUUGAUUAAAUUGUUUAAUAGAUAUAAUCAAAGAUAAAUAACUUGCAUGGCUCCGUAGGAUAUUAUGUGUAUCUUGUUCAUGAUCACUAAUGGUCCUCAUAGGCACCAUUUGAUUUGCUGCUCCCAUUGUCUCAAUUUCCAUUGUAUUGUCAUCGUUGACCCCCGACGCUCGAAAUUCUGCAGGUGGUGUUACAAUAUGUCUCCGUGGACUCGUAGCACAGUUUGGAGAUUUAAGUCUUAGGGUGAGCGCUGUUGGUAGACCACUGUAUGUGUCUGCACGACGGCCACCAUAUUUGACUUUUUAUUUUAUAAACCGAUGUAUUUAUACAAAUAUUAAUGUACCUGAUGCAGCUCUGUGCAUGAUGCAGAAGAAACAUCACCAGUUUCUUCUUCUCCACCGUCAACCAUGGGUCAACAAUGCAGCGACGCCGCCAGUUCCCUUUCUUAUAUGCACCGCUCUGUCUAGUCUCGGGUAGCCAUGUUUACGCUAUUUUUUGUGGUCAUUUACGGUCUAUAAAGUUUGUUCCUGCAUGCAUGGAGAUAUUAUCGGAGACGUGACAACUACCCGAUAGAUUUUAUCUCGGUUUGUUGAAACAAUUUUGUAUUUACUCAACUAAAUGAAACCAGUUACGCAAUUUUCUGUAUAUAUUUAUGCCUGAGUUUCUGCUUACGUGCAUGCCAUGCAAUAUUCUCGGGAACUACCAAUUAUGGUUUGUGAUUUUAUCGCGUAUUCCGUUUAUGCUAAUAUUCAAACACGUUUACAUUUUGUUUGUUAAUGUUUAUGCUUUGGUUCGACCAACCAGAAAACCGCACAGAGAAACUUGGGCGCUGCCCGGAUCGAACAAAUUGGCUGGGGCUUCCCGAUACUAAUGGAAGCCCUAGGCUUCCAUUAGUUCGUCCAUAUAUAUAUAUAUAUAUAUAUAUAUAUAUAUAUAUAUAUAUAUAUAUAUAUAUAUAUAUAUAUAUAUAUAUAUAUAUAUAUAGUUUAUCUAUUUGGAGCCCUGGGCUUCCAAAAAAACAAGGAAGCCCUGAUCCAAAAAGUCUAUUCCGGUUCAGUGCAACCACAACCGGCCAACCCAACCACAAUCCCCCACGCUUGCGCGUACAUUUCAUUUUUUCCAUCAAUUCAGCCGAAACCGCCACCUUAAAUUAGGAUAUAUUAUUUUCCCCCAAAACAAACCCUAACCGGUCGGCCCAAUUCUCACGCGCUCGCCACAGAUCUAGCCCUGCCUACAGCGCUCUCGCUGCUGCACGUCCCGUUCACGUCGUCGUCCGCCCCUGGCCCUUGCCUCACCGACUCGUGGCCGUCGGCAGCUCCACGUGGGACACGGCCACGCCUGACGCCUCCACCUCCACGACUCAGCUGACGGCUCCUCUCCAUGGGACGGUGCAUGACGACGCCAUGGCGGUUCACCGGCUCCAACCUUCCCCCUCCGGCCUACAGUCCUCCACCGUCCGGUCGCCAGUGGUCCUCCAUGGGCCAUGGCUGACGGGUGCACGCACCGGUAUUCAUCCCUUGCUGCUCUAUUCCCAAUGCUCUAGCUCGUGUACUAGUUGUGCAGCCUGUCGCCUAGCCCUGCUCCGGCGUGAAGUCCUGAUGCUUCUAGUUGUUUUUGUCUUAAAUAAAGAUGCUAGUAUGCAUGUGGCUAUGUGAGGUCUAUUGCAUCCGAUUUAGUGCUGCACAUUUAAGUAAUCUUGAUGAUUGAUUCAAGCAAUUUUUUACUUGGCCUUUAUAUUCUAGAUUAUUGUAACCGGUUGAAACUAAGAGAUACAUGAUGAUUUUCUAAAUCAUAAAUAUAUUUAUAUUGCAUAAUCUUCUACCUAAGGCCUUAGUGCCUAUCCUUAACAAAUAUUUUUUUAUACUUGAUUCUACUGUGUAGGUAUGACAGGUCGUUCAACGAGCACCUCAUUAUCCAGAGUCUCACAAUUUAAAUUGUUUGAUUUCUAAAGUCCAAUUAUAUUUCUAGUCAGCAAUCACAUAUUAACUACACAAGCAAAGUGCAGAGAUAUAUUAUGUUCCUUUUUGAAACAAGUUAUUUCUUACAAUACCAUUUUCAUUGUGUUCUUUUCAUUGUAUUUUUCCUUCAUCUAUCAUGUCACGUUGUGGUUGUGGACCUGGCUAGCUUCAAUCAUGCUUUUCCUUUUUCAGUUUCGCCUUUUCCAGUGGUAAUACUUGACAGAGAAAUCCUGAACCAAGCGCAAACCUUCUGCAAGACCUGGUAACUUAUUUUAGGGGCUAGAAAUAGGCGACGACAGUUCAGGCCUUGUUUUUUACACCAAUCCAACCCUGGAUUAGCAAUGAUUUUUAUGCAGCUCUUGUUUGUUACGACUACUCAUGGCACCAUUUAUGCAUACAUCUGAACUAUUUAUGCUGUUGAUAUGUUUCUAGUGUGGCAAUGAUUUUUUUACAUAUAGAUGCUUACCAAAAGUUCAAAAUCUUUCCGGUCGGUAGCAGUAGAAGCAGCACACCCAAUUUGUCAUACACUCUGUAAUUUUUAUUUCCUAAAUAUGUCUUUUUAUGCUAAUUUGAAUACGCUAUUACGCCCAAUUACUAGAUCGCGCGUAUGCUCCAUUUUGUAAACACGUAGACCACCAAAUUGUACAUUUUUUAUGUUCUUUUUAUGCUUUUAUUCUGAGUUGAAUUGGUCCUCACAUGAUCAUGCAUCAAUACCCAAUGGUUCAGACUCAUCUAAUGCUUCUGCUUCCUUACAUGAACAUGCAUUAGCACAUCAGUCAUCUAGCGCUACUUACUAUAACAAGCACACAUUAUCCACCGAUAUGAUUCUUAUUCCUGCUAAUUUUAAUGUGUUAUUAUGCUCAAUUAUCAGAUCUCGUGUACGCUCCGCAUUGUAAACACGUAGACCAAUUCUCCUACAUUGUUUUUGUUCUUCCUUUUAUGCUUUUACGAUGAUUUGAAUUGGUCCUUUUCAGAACAAUGCACCCCCAGUACGUAGUCCACUCUAGAGCAGUAUACGACAGAUACGCCCAGUACCUCCAGUAAGUAUAUGCUCUUUAUUUUUGUGAUCUACUGCCCAAGUAUCCAGAAGGCAAACUAGAUUUUGAUGUCUGCAUAUUAAAAUUGCCGAUAUCAAAUAAAUCGUCCAUGAGUUGUCCUAGAGUUUCUAGUGUGAAGGAUAUGCAUUGAAUCAGUUUUAUAUGUUUUCGGAAUGAUGGACAAGGUACAACAUGAUAGGAGAAUUUUUUUACACCCUAGUUAUCUUGUUUUAAUUCACCCUUUUUGCGCUCCAAUUAUUUUGGUGAAUCUUAGCAUAGAACUUGACCUUAUAUUAUUUUGUAUGUUUGGUUUGCAUGGGAUAUAUUUAUGAACAUUGAUAUCGUUUUUAUGCUUACUGACAGAAUGCAUAUGGCCUGAAAAUGGAGAAUUGAGGUAUAAAAUAUCGGCUCUUCACUGUCAUAUGCAUUCAUUAGCUUUUUGGUGAUUGGCUCAAUUUAAUGGUUGGUGCACUCAUGCAAUUUUGAACUAAAACAACAACUUGUUUGCACUAUCCAUGCAUAUUGAUAUUGCUAUUGUAGCAACUGCUAUAAAUAACUGUGGCACCAUUUAUGCAUACACUCCACUAUAUAUGUGUUUUGAUUUGUUAUGAUCAGAAAUUCCAUUAUUAACGACUGAAUUUUGGUGUGCUGAUGCUAUAACCUGUGACAUCCAGCUAUUUUCUUGAUUUGUUACAUCUUUUUGUCAAUCUUAAUCUUAUUUUAUUUGAUUUAUUGCAUCAUCCAUUUGAAUAUAGACAUAAAAACCAAGAGCUAAAAUGAAUACUAUUUCCAGUUCUAGGCGGCAUUAUAAAUUCUAUUUUUUUCUUAUAAUGAUGUGAAUCUUGAUGGUUUAAUACUAUUGUUUUAGGACAAUUAUUAUGGUUUCAUACUAUUUCCAGUUCUUUAGUCAUGGAUUUUUUUUCAGAAGUUGAUGAACUCUACCUUCGCAGGAUCUAGUUCCUUGAAUCUUACUGUCUUUUGAGUUUGAGCAUAUACUGAUGUGGAGAGGAAGUGAUUGGAAAUCAUCUCUUCCUCCAUUAGAAAAUAGUUAUGAAGUGACAAAGGUGCAAGAAAGUUUUAGUGGCAAAGAAUCUAAUGAAAAGGUUACACAUUCAGGAAAUGUUCUGAUCCAGAUUUAGUUGGUCAGUGUUGCAACAUCUCACAAGAACUGGAACUUGGAUGAAGGUCAAGAAAAAUUUAAAGAUUCCACUGACAGUGAUAUGGUACUGAAUUCUGCAAAGGAUGUUCCUGCAUUGUUCCAUUCUACAGGUAUAUCUAGAACUGAACCCUCAGCAGACAUUGCAUUGGAAUAUUCCCCAUUAAAUCCAGUAUGUGAUAUUAUGGAUCCAUCCCUGAACUGCCGAAGUAUCCCAACAAACAAAUGUGAAAGUAGAGCUCUGGUAGAGAAGUCAGAACAUUGUCCGAAUGAUUAUAAUUUGGAAAUGAAGGGGAAAAGAAACGAUGGUACAAAAUGUACAGUUGUUCUAAAUAGCGGUUCUAAAGUAGAGGGAUUGUUAUGUCUUUUGGAGCAAGCCAUUCACAGUGGCAGGGCACUUGUUCUGAGUGAAGAUGAACUUGCUGAUUCAGAUCUGGUCUAUGAAAAGUCUGUUGCUUUUAGAAAGUCAAUUCUGCGAAGACUGGUUUUUGAGAAUACUCGAAGGAAGUCCAGUGCCAGGAGAAAUGUGCCAGACAAUCAUGCAAGAACUAAAACACAUAUUAUAGCAAAUAAAAUGUUGAGCAGUCCUGUUGAAAAUAAAUUUAUCGUUAAUGGAGGAUCUGCAAUGCAGACAAUUGACCAUGGACAAGAGUGUCUUUCUGGUGUUGUUCAUCAAGGUACCUUAAGAGUAGAUGAACUAGCAAAGUUACUAGCUUGAGAGGUGAUUGCUCUUUUAUCAACCACAUAGACCAGUAUCAACAUCCUUUGAAACAUAUGCAAGAUUUGCAUGAACUCUGAAUUUGGUUAAAACAAGUCUCAGGUCUGUUGCGUCGUGGCGAGUCCUUUUUAACCUUGAAAUAUUGAACUAUAAUCAUGUGCGAUGUACAAACAACCUUCCGAAUACAUAUUCUCUGAUUUGUCUGUUGUCACCAUAAUUGGCCACUGAUAAAUAACCCUUCUGUUUUAUGUGACAAAAAAUGGUCCACACGAUGCGUUUUACGUUCAAAAACUUCUACGCGACAUGCACGGAAACUAACGCUAAACAUGCGUGAUUUAAACGUCGUAAUUCGUUACGAAACAGAUCAACGAUUUAUGCUAAAAUUCACACCCAUUUACGCUAUUUUGGAUCAUAUUUUACGCAAAAAUCCGCCCGAGCCAGAACCCGCGCAUGAUCCGACGCGCGCGAUUUUUACGCCGUAAUUUUUGGGCCACAUUCGUCGUUAUGAAACUAAGUUACGAUUUACGCUAAAAUUUUUACCCAUUUACGUUGUUUUGGUUAACGUUUUACGCAAAAAUCCAUCCAAGCCAGAACCCGCGCAUGAUCGGACGCGCGCAAUUUUUACGCCGUAAUUUUUGGGCCCUAUUCGUCGUUACAAAACAGAUCUAUGAUUUACGCUAAAAUUCAUAACCAUUUACGCUGUUUUGGUUCACGUUUUACGCAAAAAUUCGCCCAAUCCAGAUUCCGCGCACGAUCGGAAGCGCGCGAUUUUUACACCGUAAUAUUUGGGCCCAUUCGUUGUUAUGAAAUAGAUCUACGAUUUACGCUAAAAUUCGUACUCAUUUACGCUGGUUUGGUUCACGUUUUACGCUAAAAUCUGCCUGAGACAGAACCGUGCACGAUCGGAUGCACGCCUACCUGCGCGUAGGUAUACCUGGCUGGGGCUUCUCGGUACUAAUGGAAGCCCUGGGCUUCCAUUAGCUCGUGUAUAUAUAUAUAUAUAUAUAUAUAUAUAUAUAUAUAUAUAUAUAUAUAUAUAUAUAUAUAUAUAUAUAUAUAUAUAUAUAUAUAUAUAUAUAUAUAUAUAUAUAUAUAUAUAUAUCAAACUUCAUUAGAUUUGUAUAUUUAUCACCUAAAUUGCAAAUGUAUAGUGUCGUUCCUUCUAUGUAUGGACUAAAUGGUGAAUUACAUACUUCUUUAACAUAUUUAAUUGAGGUUUUCUUGGCCCUGUUCAAAUGUUUUUAAACAGCCUACAAUACAGCGUUGACCUUUGUUUACCAUUUAAAUGCUGUUCAAACAGGUUAGAUAUAACGGUGGUUGCGACUGAAUGCCGAGGCAUGCAUUUCUACAAGGUGGUUUAUUAACUAGGGUCCACUCCUUCAUAUGUACCCACAUAUAUACAAGGUGGUUUUUUAACGAUAGGAAUAACUACACCUGGGAGUAGGAAAAAUGCACCAUAUAUAUAUGUCAAACUUCAACUAUAUAUUAGAACCAUUUGAGACUUUCUGAUUGGUGUCCUUCGCAAAUAUAACCUCAUGGUAUGGCUUAUAUGACAGAACAUCCAUUAGAUGUGUGUGAAAGAGAGGACGCUACACCUGCUGAGUGAGGAUGCUGAUUGAAUUGCUGCUGCAUAUAUAUUGGUUUCGAUGAAUUGCCAUAAGCGGAUAUGUGGCCCAUGCACUCCUGUUGCACCAUUCAUGUGUCCAUCUGAUAAACCAUAUGCAGAUGAGUUGUCCAGCAUGUCUGAAUGUAUUCCAGAAUUAUUGUGGCCUAUGCUGAAUCUGAUUGCAAUUUUGGUUGCUAGAAAAUUGGAUCUGGAUCCGGAGCUGAAUCCUGGAGUUGGGAUCCUGUUGAUUACUGAAUCUGGAGCUGCACAUUCUGUUGAUUACUGAAUCCUGGAGUUGGGAUCAUGUCUCAUGUGAGCUGAACCAACUGAACCCGGCCCAUCGUAGAUUGUACGUUAUUUGUGGUAGAUUUUGUGGAAUGCCAGAAUUUAAAUGCUGGUAGCCAUUGGACCUGUGUGGAGGAAUUAAGAGUGGGUUACUAUAAAAACAAAAUGUUAUUCUUUUACAAUUUUUUGUUAAUACACAUGGCUCUGUUCCUGAUGCAGCAUUUCCUAUAUAUAGACUUGAUGAAACAUUUCCUGAUGAAGCUUUCUUUUUCUUAACAGGUCAGUGGAGGUGACGUUUAGUACGAAAUGAGGACACAUGUCACUUAUCUGCUGCGAAUACUGCCGUCGGACAAAAAAACUUAUAACUUUUUGUGCAAUCAGCAAUUACUAAUAUGCUGCUCGCGAUGAAUGAUGUGUGUAUGCUACUUUUGGACCUGUGGUAUCUAAGGCUGCCAACCAUAAUGUUUUGGCAAACACAAAUCCGUGUGGCUAAACAAAAAUCUUGAUGCAUGUUGUAUGAUCCAGCUAACAUCAAUGCCGCUUUAUUGUAAAUGUUUAUGUUUUUACUAUAUGACUUACUAUAUGUGUUGAUUAUAUUGCAAAUAUUUUUAUCUCCUCCCAUUCUCGGCGCCUCCUGUUCUAGUUUGUACAUAAUGAAGGGUAGACUCACAGCAUAGCUGGUGCAAGGGAAAAAAUGUUGCAUAAAAUAUGUCAUUUCCAUUUUUUGAGGAAACAUGUCAACAUUGACAUUUGCUGAAGUUAGGUAUACAUCUAUUUGAAUCAACAGUUACAGUUCAACAUAUACUCCUUCCGCUCUAGCUUGUUGCGUGUCCUACUUUUUUUCUAAAUCACUUUUCUCUAAAUUGACAUACUCCCUAGAAAAUCUAUCCAAAUUUUGAAGAUCAAAUUUGUUCCAUUGAAUUAUUCAUGACAUCUAUCUUGGUAUUGCUUUUUAAUAAUCAGAAUAUAUUUUGAUCUCAACAAAAGUUAUACACGAUUCUUUUUAGACAAUACUAAAGCAAAUUGUAAUCAAGAACACUUGAGGUUCGCACCAAUUGCCACAUUUAGAUAUAAGCAUUCUAAUUUUGGUCAUCCUAUGUGUGUGCAUUCAUCUAAGCAUUCUAGGAUUUCAAUUAGUCUAUAUCUUGUAGUAUUUGUUCCUUCAUUGUCAAUUCACUUCUCAUCUAACUACUAUGAUUGUUUAACCAGUAGAACAUAACUACGACAAUAUCCAUUUAUAAAGACUUUGAUAGCAAACUUUACAUAUUCAUAUCAUGUUAAGGUUGUCACAUGUGUAAAGGUGAAGAGAUCAUGCAUGUCAUUCCACGUAGAUGAAAAAAUUCCUAUAUAAAAAUGACACCUUUUCUUGUAGGUAGUGGAAAGUACCUUUCCAGCAAAGAUCAUAUAUAUAAUCCGAUAAAGCUGAAAACUAAAUGUCGAAAUCGAGUAGAUGCCAUAUCAUCUAUACCUUAUCUCUUGUUUGGAAAAAAGACAAAACCAAAAAAUAUUUAUGAGGUCUCACUUGUAUAAAUAGCUCCCAAAUCAGUAGUUAAUCCAUCACCUAUAAUAUUUUGAGCAUUCAGAAACACACCAAGCGAAGCACAUUAGCAACAACCUAACAACAAUGGCUACCAAGAUAUUAUCCCUCCUUGCGCUUCUUGCGCUUUUUGCGAGCGCAACAAAUGCGUUCAUUAUUCCACAAUGCUCACUUGCUCCAAGUUCCAUUAUUACACAGUUCCUCCCACCAGUUACUUCAAUGGGCUUCGAACACCCAGCUGUGCAAGCCUAUAGGCUACAACAAGCAAUUGCGGCGAGCGUCUUACAACAACCAAUUUCCCAGUUGCAACAACAAUCCUUGGCACAUCUAACAAUACAAACCAUCGCAACGCAACAGCAACAACAAUUCCUACCAGCACUGAGCCACCUAGCCAUGGUGAACCCUGCCGCCUACUUGCAACAGCAGUUGCUUGCAUCAAACCCACUUGCUCUGGCAAACGUAGUUGCAAACCAGCCACAACAACAGCUGCAACAGUUUCUGCCAGCGCUCAGUCAACUAGCCAUGGUGAACCCUGCCGCCUACCUACAACAGCAACAACUGCUUUCAUCUAGCCCGCUCGCUGUGGCCAAUGCACCUACAUACCUGCAACAACAAUUGUUGCAACAGAUUGUACCAGCUCUGACUCAGCUAGUUGUGGCAAACCCUGCUGCCUACUUGCAACAGCUGCUUCCAUUCAACCAACUGACUAUGUCGAACUCUGCUGCGUACCUACAACAGCGACAACAGUUACUUAAUCCACUAGCAGUGGCUAACCCAUUGGUCGCUGCCUUCCUACAGCAGCAACAAUUGCUGCCAUACAACCAGUUCUCUUUGAUAAACCCUGUCUUGUCGAGGCAGCAACCCAUCGUUGGAGGUGCCAUCUUUUAGAUUACAUAUGAGAUGUACUCGAUAAUGGUGCCCUCAUUCCGGCAUGUGUUUCCUAGAAAUAAUCAAUAUAUUGAUUGAGAUUUAUCUCAAUAUAUUUCUGAACUAUGUUCAUCAUAUAAAUAAUUGAAAACAUCAAAUCGUAAUUAUAAACUCAUGCUUGGUCAAUACAUAGACAAUGCGAUAUUACUUCAACAUCCCAAUGAUGUCCUAGCCCAACCUCUUGAAUGUUACUGUUUUAAUGUGUGAGGGUAUAUUUAUAAGAUAGACGUGACUACUCGCGCUUUUUUUAGUACAUACAUAUAUGGUAUGUUGAUUUGAUUAGUGAUGGACACAUGCUUUGACCAUGAAUAUUCAAAUGAGGUGUAUUUGCACGAAGCAAAACAUAAUAUAAGUUUAGGAGUAGACUUAUAACUGUGUCCAAACAUGCUCACACAAAUUCAUACCACAUUAUAAUUUUUUGGUAAAUAUUCCACACGUAUUUUUUACAAGAACCCAAAUUUUGCAGAUAAAUGCAGCAUUGUAGACAUGUAUAAUUCUUUGAAGCCCCUGAACUUAACAGCACCAAGGUCAUUAAAUCAACUGGACCCUAUGAGUAACAAUUUCAAUAUUGCAAACACCAAAUUAUAGAACUUAUUGGCUGAAAAAUUAUGAGCAAUGUGAAGUUUAAAUUAUUAUACCAUAAAUAUAUCAAAGAAUUUUUUUUGAGGAACGUAAAAAUUGCAUGGAAUGGGCUGCCCAACGUGCUAGCUCACUUCUAUGCUAGGUAUCAUUACCAAAGAUGGGAAUGUUGCUAAUGAACGCCAAACCCACUCAUAUAAUAUUUAUAUUUGGGUUGUUUAGUUGUAAAAGUGAAGACCCAAGAUAAAAGUACCAAUUGUUCAAUGACAUUCGAUUAUUUUGUUCGGGGAGCACUUGGUGCGUCAUUUGGACUCAUAUCUUAGUCCAAUAGAUUGCAUUUUCCUUCAAUGUGUAGAAUCCGACAAAGUGCAUGUUCUAAAAUUGUAAAUCUAACUAAAUUAGAAAGCUUGUUACUAAUUUGAUGGUUUAUUAGGUGUACCUCAUAAAACUAGAACCAACAUAGCCUGCACUCACGUGUCAUAGAAAAUAGGAGUAUCCAAGCACAAUUUAUGUGAGCAUCCAUCACACAAAUUAUAUAUAGACUGAUAUAAUUAAUUCCUUCAAAAAUAAAAAAGGAAAAAAUAAAGUGUUUUUUUGAUAUUGCAGGAUAUCUCCUUUAACUAAUGAGGAGUACUAAAAAGAUGUUGCACUUUUGGGUGGCGAGAAUUCCUCAAUCAUAACUUUGACAUAAUUUUAAUCCGGAUCACAUAUAUCAUCAUAUCUUAAUUAUUAAAUUAAUAUGUGUCGGAGAGGGAAUUCUCCGGCCGGGUGGCGGAAUGCACCCGCCCUAAAUCCUAAGAUGAGGAAGGGGCUUAAGUGUUUUGCCUGUCUUGCUAAGCGAUCACCGAGCACACGAACACGCGAGGAUUUAGAGUGGUUCGGGCCGCCAGAGCGUAAUACCCUACUCCACUGUGUGUUGGAUUGCUGUGGAAGCUUGAGAGCUGAGAGUCUGAGUCCUUUGUCUGUGUUGCGUGCCCUCCCUUUUAUAGCUCAAGGGGGGCAUGUACAAGGACACUGAACCCCGACAUGUGGGCCUAGGGACAUAACAGAUGGAAUACUCGGAGCAACUAAUAUCAGUCACCUUGUGCAAUCAUCCUGUGCCCCGAUAUCCGCCGCUAGAGUAGCAUUGGCGUGCAGCAGAAGGUUCCCCGGCAUCGUACAAGUCAUGAUGGCCAUCGCACGCGCGCUGCGGUAUGGGCGUACUGCCCACUGUCUGAUUGGACAGGCACGUCGCCUGUAGAGUGGUCUGGUCGUCGCCUGUCAUCAGAGUGGACGGGGCACAUUAAAUGCCGAGACGGCACAUCGCCUGUCAGCAGGGCGGACAGGCGGCGCGUCCUCUCCGCAAUAAAUGUAGAGAUCACGUGGCUCAAAGGCCUUACGUCAGGCUCCACCCGCCGGCUUACGUCACGAGCAAUAGGCCGCGUGGCAGCAUUAGGUCCUCGCCUGAGCGGGGAGCGGAAGUACACCAGGCAAGACCCUGACAAGUGUCUACGCCGGACCCCUGUACGUCCUUGACUUAGGCCAGGGUAUUCUUCAUCCCGGGAUCUUGCUGUGGGUGGCUUGGACCUCACUUAGAGGGGUCCAGGUCCCAUCCAAGGGAACAUGGAGGUCCUGGGUCGUACCCGGAGGUCCGAGUCAUGUAUGCUGGGGUCCGACACUUUCCCAUGGGGGUCCGGAUUCACUGACGAUAUCACGGUAUGUGUUACCUUCUCUGGUCACUUGGCGGCCCCGGAGUCGCCCACGUGGUGGGGUCGGGCGUUGUUUACCGUGCGUCUAGAGAUAGACGUGCGGGUACCGCGCCUUCAUACUAUAGUAAGGGGUACUCCUGUUCCAGGGUAUCGACAAUAUGGUUCCAUCAUCGUAUUAUUAAUUCAAUCUAAUAUAACCAUCAGAUCUUAAUUAUUAAAUUAAUCUGGAGUGUACAUUAGAUUAUCAAACCAAAUCAACCCGACAUAACCAUCAAAUGUUCCGCUAUGCACCUUAAGCGCAUGGUCUAGGGAUUAAUCAUCCGGAAUAACCAUCCGAUCUUCUAGUAAGCAUAGUAAGUGUAUGGUUCACGACUUCAUCAUCCAGAAUAACCAUCAGAUUUUCCGGUGUGCACUGAAAGCAAAUGAUCCGCGGUUUUGGUAGGUGAAACGUUGUUAGGUGAAUGCGGAUGUUGGCUGUUGUUGCACGUGCGAACUGUUGUGUGGAAGCUGCUGGGUCCUCCUCUAUUGUGCGUGGCUUGUGGCGGGCUUGGACUACUCUCAUGGCUUCGGCGCUUGGAACUGCUCGUCUGUCCGGUCCUGCGUGCAUCUCUCUCUCCUGGCUGGAGGUGUGGUGGCCUGGCGGCUUCUCUGUGUUUUUCUUUUUAUGAUGACUUCUCGUGUUGGCUAGGGUUGGCGUUAGGGGCUCGGUCAGUUAUGCUCCCUCAGCUUUUAUAGGCAGCGCACCAUAGCAGGCAGAGCAGAGAUAAAGAUUCCAAUUGCAUCCAUCUACAAACAAGGCUCUCGGCGGAAGGGAUAAAAGCAUGCAUCGCAAUUACUGCUGCUCUGCUGCAACCUUGGCUCUCGUCAAUUGGAUGACCAAAAGAUGCCAACGUCUAAGAUCUUUUCUUUGUGCAGCUGCCUGUUUGUCACCAACACAAAAUUGUAGGUGCCUGUUUGUCACCAAUUAUCCUCUACCACAAAGAACUACAAUAGUGAUGGAGGAUCCGAUCCAGCACAGAUCCACUAUAAUGCAUAGUGGGUGAUGCAUGCCUAAUGGUGGUUGUUUAGUGUUAGUUUGGGCAUGUUGGAACUAAGCAAUUGUCGAUGCCAUACACUAGAAGUGAAGAAUGUUGUUAGCGUUAGGAGUAGAGGUGUCAAUGGGGACCGAUACCCGUUAAGCCAUGGAGAAUUUCUCUAUUAGAUUUAGGGUAUGGGAAGAUUUUAAUUUCCAUUUGCUGAAGUUAGGUAUACAUCUAUUUGAAUCAACAGUUACAGUUCAACAGAAACUCCUUCCGCUAUAGUUUGUUGCAUGUCCUACCUUUUUCCUAAACUAUUUUCCCUAAAUUGACAUACUCUCUAGAAAAUCUAUCCAAAUUUUGAAGAUCAAAUCUGUUCCAUUGAACUAUUCAUGACAUAUAUCUUGGUAUUGCUUUUUGUCAUCAGAAUAUAUUUUGAACUCAGUAAAAGUUAUACACGAUUUUUUUAGACAAUACUAAAGCAAGUUGUAAUCAAGAACACUUGAGGUGUGCGCCAAUUGCCACAUUUAGAUAUAAUCAUUAUAAUUUUGGUCAUCCUAUAUGUGUGCAUUCAUCUAUGCAUUCUAGGAUUUCAAUUAGUCUCAAUCUUGUAGUAUUUGUUCCUUCAUUGUCAAAUCACUUCUCAUCUAACUACUAUGCUUUUUUAACCAUCAGAACGUAACUCCAACAGUAUCCAUUUAUAAAGGUUUUGAUAGCAAACUUUACAUAUUCAUAUCAUGUUAAGGUUGUCACAUGUGUAAAGGUGAAGAGAUCAUGCAUGUCAUUCCACGUAGAUGAAAAGAAUUCCUAUAUAAAAUGACACCUUUUCUUGUAGGUAGUGGAAAGUAUCUUUCCAGCAAAGACCAUAUAAUCCAAUAAAGUUGAUAACUAAAUGUCGAAAUAGAGUAGAUGCCAUAUCAUUUAUACCUUAUCUGUUGUUUGGAAAAAAAGACUAAAUCCAAAAUAUAUAUGACAUCUCACUUGUAUAAAUAGCUCCCAAAUCAGCAGUUAACCAUCACCCAUAAUAUUUUGAACAUUUAGAAACACACACCUAGCGAAGCGCACUAGCAACGACCUAACAACAAUGGCUACCAAGAUAUUAGCCCUUCUUGCGCUUCUUGCCCUUUUUGUGAGCGCAACAAAUGCGUUCAUUAUUUCACAAUGCUCACUUGCUCCUAGUGCCAUUAUUCCACAAUUCCUCCCACCAGUUACUUCAAUGGGCUUCGAACACCCAGCUGUGCAUGCCUACAGGCUACAACAAGCGCUUGCGGCGAGCGUCUUACAACAACCAAUUGCCCAAUUACAGCAACAAUCCUUGGCACAUCUAACAAUACAAACCAUCGCAACGCAACAGCAACAACAGUUCCUACCAGCACUGAGCCACCUAGCCAUGGUGAACCCUGCCGCCUACUUGCAACAGCAACUGCUUGCAUCCAACCCACUUGCUCUGGCAAACGUAGUUGCACACCAGCAACAACAACAGCUGCAACAGUUUCUGCCAGCGCUCAGUCAACUAGCCAUGGUGAACCCUGCCGCCUACCUACAACAGCAACAACUGCUUUCAUCUACCCCGCUCGUUCUGGCCAAUGCACCUACAUACCUGCAACAACAAUUGUUGCAAUAGAAUCUACCAGCUCUGACUCAGCUAGCUAUGGCAAACCCUGCUGCCUACUUGCAACAGCUGCUUCCAUUCAACCAACUGAUUGUGUCGAACUCUGUUGCGUACCUACAACAACGACAAUAGUUACUUAAUCCACUAGCAGUGGCUACCCCAUUGGUCGCUGCCUUCCUACAGCAGCAACAAUUGCUGCCAUACAACCAGUUCUCUUUGAUGAACCCUGUCUUGUCGAGGCAGCAACCCAUCGUUGGAGGUGCCAUCUUUUAGAUUACAUAUGAGAUGUACUUGAUAAUGGCGCCCUCAUACCGGCAUGUGUUUCCUAGAAAUAAUCAAUAUAUUCAUUGAGAUUUAUCUCGAUAUAUUUCUGAACUAUGUUCAUUAUAUAAAUAAUUGAAAACAUCAAAUCAUAAUUAUAAACUCAUGCUUGGUCAAUACAUAGACAAUGCGAUAUUACUUCAACAUCCCAAUGAUGUCCUAGCCCAACCUCUUGAAUGUUACUGUUUUAAUGCGUGAGGGUAUAUUUAUAAGAUACACGUCACUAUUUGCGCUUUUUUUAGUACAUACAUAUUUUGUAUGUUGAUAUGAUAUAGUUAUGGACACAUGCUUUGACCAUGAAUAUUCAAAUCAGUUGUACUUGCACGAAGCAAAACAUAAUAUAAUUUAGGAGUACACUUAUAACUGUGUCCAAACAUGCUCACACAAAUUCAUACCACAUUAUAUUUUUUGGUAAAUAUUCCACACAUGUAUUUUUUACAAGAACCCAAAUUUUGCAGACAAAUGCAGCAUUAUAGACAUGUAGAAUUAUUUGAAGCCCGUGAACGUAACAACACCAAGGUCAUUAAAUCAACUGGACCCUAUGAGUAACAAUUUCGAUAUUGCAAACACCAAAUUAUAGAACUUAUUGGCUGAAAAAUUAUGAGCAAUGUGAAGUUUUAAUUAUUAUGCCAUAAAUAUAUCAAAUUAUUUUUUUGAGGAACGUAAAAAUUGCAUGGAAUGGGCUGCAUAACGUGCUAGCUCACUUCUAUGCUAGGUAGCAUUACCAAAGAUUGGAAUGUUGCUGAUGAACACCAAACCCACUCAAAUAAUAUUUAUAUUUGGGUUGUUUAGUUGUAAAAGUGAAGACCCAAGAUAAAAGUACCAAUUGUCCAAUGACAUUCGAUUAUUUUGUUCGGGGAGCACUUGGUGCGUCAUUUGGACUCGUAUCUUAGUCCAAUAGAUUGCAUUUUCCUUCAAUGUGUAGAAUCCGACAAAGUGCAUGUUCUAAAAUUGUAAAUCUAACUAAAUUAGAAAGCUUGUUACUAAUUUGAUGGUUAAUUAGGUGUAGCUCAUAAAACUAGAACCAACAUAGUUUGCACUCACAUGUUAUAGAAAAUAGGAGUAUCCAAGCACAAUUUGUGUGAGCAUCCAUGACACAAAUUAUAUAUAGACUGAUAUAAUUAAUUCCUUCAAAAAUAAAAAAAGGAAAAAAUAAAGUGUUUUUUGAUAAUGCAGGAUAUCUCCUUUAGCUAAUGAGGAGUACUAAAAAGAUGUUGCACUUUUGGGUGGCCAGAAUUCCUCAAUCAUAACUUUGACAUAAUUUUAAUCUGGAUCAUAUAUAUAGCAUCAUAUCUUAAUUAUUAAAUUAAUAUGGUUCCAUCAUCGUAUUAUUAAUUCAAUCCGAUAUAACCAUCAGAUCUUAAUUAUUAAAUUAAUCUGGAGCGUACAUUAGAUUAUCAAACCAAAUCAACCCGACAUAACCAUCGAAUGUUCCGCUAUGCACCUUAAGCGCAUGGUAUGGGGCUUAAUCAUCCGGAAUAACCAUCCAAUCUUCUGGUAAGCAUAGUAAGCGUAUGGUUCACGGCUUCGUCAUCCGGAAUAACCAUCAGAUUUUCUGGUGUGUACUGAAAGCAAAUGAUCCAGGGUUUUGGUACGUGAAACAUUGUUAGGUGAAUGCAGAUGCUGGCUACUGUUGCACAUGCGAACUGCUGUGUGGAAGCUGUUGGGUCCUCCUCUAUUAUGCGUGGCUUGUGGCGGGCUUGGACUGCUCUCAUGGCCUCACCAGCUGCAACGACCAGAGCGGUACCCCUUACUAAAGUAUGAAGACACGGAGCCUGUACGACGUUCUCUAGCCACACGGUGAACAACACCCAACCCCACCACAUGGGCGGCUUAGGGGGCACCACGUGGCGAGAAAAGAUGAUACAUCGCAGGAUGUAUCAGUUGGACCGGACCACCGCAAGAAAGCAUCGGACCCCUGUACGCAAAACCCGGAUCCCCGAUUAUGGUCCGGGACUCCCAAGCAAGCAUGUCGGGUCCCUUGGAUGGGGUCCAGAUCCCUCCGAGUAAGGUCCGGGCCACAACGAGGUCCCAUAACAGGGGAGACCCUGGCAUAAGCAAGGGUCCGAUACUGACACGUGUCCAGGCCUUAUCCUGUGCGCUUGCGCUCCCCGCUCAGGCGGAGACCCGAUGCUGCCACGUGGCUUGUUGCCCAUGACAUAAGCCAGCGGGCGGAGCCUGACGUAAGGCCUCUAGGCCGCGCGGUCUCUGCAUUUAUUGAGGAGAGGACGCGCCGCCUGUCCACCCUGCUGACAGGCAAAGUGCCCCCUCAGCAUUUAAUGCGUCCUGUCCACUCCGCAGGCAGGAGGCGCCAGGGCCAUCUUGCAGACGGUGCACCUGUCCAGUCCAUUGUCAAACAGUGCGCCCGUGCUGCGCGGCGCACUAUGCUCAUCAUCCCUUAUACGAGAAGCUUCCCCUGCACGCCGAUGCUACGCAGAUCUCGGAUGUCAGGGUGCAAGAAGAUUGCUCCAGCAACAAACAUUAGUAGCUCCAAGUACUACAUCCGUUAUGUUCCUGUGCCCACAUGUAGGGGCUCAGUGCUCUUGUACAUGCCCCCCUUAGCUAUAAAAGGGGAGGCAUGCAACGUUACGGAGGGGCUCUCUUGGACAAAAAACUGAGACUCUCAGCUCUCAAGCCUCCACAGCAAUCCAACACACACUGGAGUAGGGUAUUACACUCCGGCGGCCCGAACCACUCUAAAUCCUCACGUGUUCGUGUGCUCGGUGAUCGCUUAGCAAGACAGGUAAAACGCUUAAGCCCCUUCCUCAUCUUAGGAUUUAGGGCGGGUGCAUUCCACCACCCAGCCAGAGAAUUCCCUCUCCGACAUUUGGCACGCCAGGUAGGGGCCUAGGCAUUAGGUUUUUGCUUGUUUCUGUCACACCCUGGUUUCGGGUCACCAAGACCCGGGCGCGAACAUAAUCACCAGGUGUGCUGGGACCAAGUCUCACACAUAUGAUGAAUCAUGGCACAGGAUCGAAUGUCACAUCUUUACUACAUAACAGGAGUUUUAUACAAAAUAAAUAAUUACAUUAUAAGGAGACAACGGUCCAGCAACCCAAAGUUGACUGGCAGGCGACGGCCUAGACCUCUCACGAACUCGUCACAGCAUCCUCCAAGCGCCUCAUCCUGCGGUACCUGUUCUUGACCUGUGGGGGGGUGUGAGACAGCAAGAGUGAGCUCACAUACGUUCAUCGCUCAACAAGUUGUGGGGAAUAAUGUGCAUGAACUCGCCAAAGGUGGGAGCUCAUGUGAAGUGUAAGGCUUACCAAAGAGGAUGGUUAGAGCUGAGCAUUGCUUUUAAAGUUGGUCAAAAUUUUAUUAGCAGUUACUAAGUAUAAGUAAAUACCAACCCAAUUAAGUAGUAGAACAACAGUAACAACAUCACCUGCGAUGCAAUGCAUAUGACAAAUUGAAUUUAGUUCCAUAAAUUAAUCAUGUGAGUGUCCGAGCUGCUCAUGACCGUGAGCACGGCUAGUAUACCAGUUUUACACUCUGCAGAGGUUGCGCAUCUUUACCCACAAGUCAUGUUACCCAUCUGCCAAGAGACGGCCAAUCCCAUACACCUCUACCGAGGAGGCGAGGCAGGGUAAUACUACGAGGCCUUUACAAAGUUCCACUAGCUUCAGAAAACCCGCUACAGUUUAUAGGAAGCUCCAGUGCAGGAGUCCCUCGACUGACCACCAUCGCAGCAAAAUCAACCAAGGACCUCCCUACACUGACCACUCCCCUACCGCCCUUGCCCCUUUCAGGUAAGGUAAUCAUCCACUAGCUUUCCUAGUUAAUCAGCCAAGGGCGUCCAUAAUCCCUUGUGGUAGCACUGUUUUCCCGGGUGGUUCUCCAUGUUCCCAUUAACAUAAUGAUCUUAUCAUGAACAGUAAAUAAUAAACAAAUAAUAAAAGUAUAAUCAUGAAUAGUGUAUCUCCAUACCCAAAACCACAAUAAGCAAUAGCAAGUACUACCCAAGAAUUCAGUGGUAAACAAGGUAUAAAGAUAGUCAAAAUCUAGGGUAACCUAUUGGGUCCCAUCAAAAUUAACCUAUGCAGAUCAUUAUGAUUAAUAAGAACAUGACUGGGUAAAAAGAAGUGAUCAAGGGCACAACUUGCCUGGGACUUGAGAUUCCAGGUACCAACUUGCUCUUCAGGUGACACGUGUCCUCACUGCUAAACGUAGCAAUACAGACAAACAUGUAUAUGAAAAAUUAACAUCACACCAAACAUAAAAAUAAACUGCGUAAUAAUGAUCUACGCGUCGCUACGAGAUCGCAGAAAUAAGAAACACUAAAUUCAGAGCUACGAUUAUUGAGUUAUGAGUUUCCAAAAUUAUUUUAGUGUUUAGAAUAGAUUAAUCCAAAUGAACAAUUUUAAUUCAUGUUUCAUGGCUAAACAGUGUUACUAGUUGAUAGAAAAUAUUGAAACAAAAUUAAUGCAACUGGAACGGGUUAAAAAGGAGUUAAAAUGGAUUUAAUAUGAAUCAAGCAAGUUUCUUGGAUUAUUUUUAUAACAAAGAUCAUUAAUAAAACUAUUUCAUAAACUUUCUGGGAUGGGGCCACUAUUUCUCAUAAGCACAGGGUUAAAUACGCAAAUAAAAGGACCCGGUUAGAAUUAUUUUUGAACCAGCAUGGAUGGCGGGUUAGUUUCUAGUAAGCGCAGGGGCUUAUUAGCAAAAGGGGCGGGCCGAAGGGGUAUCACCCAGUAUCAGCCGUAGGAUAUGAUAUAUGUGGCUCGGAUUAGAUUAGAGCUUCAUCAAAACAGUAUGCGCUAUAGACCGUCGAUCCCGAGACCGACGGUUAGGAUUUUCAUGACGCCACAUCUCACACCAACCGCUCGAUUAGAUCAGACGGUACAGAUAUUCCUGGCCACAGCCUUAUCCACCACCCAAUCGUAGCCGCACGCCAACAAUCCAACGGUUCCAGUGCUUCACAUACCACUGUCUUCACCGGCAGCGGCGCCAGAGCGCAUGCCACGGCGGCGGACAACACCGGAGAGCACCCAAACCUCGCUGAGGGCCCCAAACGAUAUUUCGAGCAGCGUACACAUUCCAGGGAAAGCUACGAAUCUAAAGGGAGAGUUCUCACCAGGAUUUGAGGUCGUGACGUGCCCGGUCGCUGAUGUCGAGCGGAUCCAAGGUGGAGCCCAAUUCCGGUGAGCAAUCACAGGUACACCGGCCAACUCCCCCAUCCGGACAAGUUACCAACUCGUGCGAGUAGCACCUGGUGAUCUGCCCCGGCCAGGGAUUCAACUCACGACGGUGUUUCACAGGUUCCGCGCGCGGCGGCACUUACCCAAGCCCCACGGCGACAACGCUCGAGCUUCAAUGGAGCAGGAGAGAGUUGCGGCGAGGUCCGCAUUUAUACGCAUGGGAAGGUGUCCGUCUCCCAACUACCACGCGAGAUCGCCGGAGGAUCCCAUUACCCGGUCGGCGAAGACCACGGAGGGGAUUUGUGCGGCGGACGCGGGGCUUCGUUGCGAUCCUAGGAGAUUGAUUCGACAAAUGGGACCCACCAGUCGGUGGCUUGGUGACAAGCGCGCGUGGCAAAAGAGACUGGUUCGCGGGCCCCGCAUUUCAGAGACUGAGCGUGGCGGGGAAAAUUGGCAGGAAGGCCGAGGGUGCGCGCUUUAGUGGGCCGAGGGAGGCCGGAGCUGGGCCGAGCCAGGGAGGAAAUCAGACCAUGUGCGUUUUCUACUUUUGUUUUAUUUUUCUUUUAUAAUUUUUGUUUUGUUUCCAAAUCAAAAAUUCAAACUAAAUUCGAAUUCUGGUCUUAAUUUUCAGGUUUCAAACAUCAAACCAAAUUCUAAUUCUUCUAUUACUUGCACUGAAAUUAUUUAUUUAUUAUUCUUAUUUAUUAUUCUCCCUAUUGUUUAAAUAUGGAAGAAAGGAAUGGCUUUAUUAAAAUUUCCUUUCUCCCCUUUGUUUUAUAAUUUUUUUGAGGUCAAUUUAAAUUAUGAUUCCUUGAUUCAAAUAAGAUGCAUCACAGAAAUAACAUCAGCAUGAGGUACACAUUUCUUUAUUUAUUUAUUUGUUCUUUACAUAAUUUAAUGCCAUUAGUUGAGUAUGUAGAGAAAAAAAUAAAAAUAAAAAUCAAGGGAUCCCCAAAACACCCACUUAUUUGUUUAUCUAUUCAUUUUAUUAUUAUUUUGGAAAUAUAUUCAUUUUGGGAGUAGUAACUUCCAAAUUAUGAAUAUCUUUAAGGAAAGGUGUUUUGAUUUAAAACCUUUGGGGAAUUUUUCCUUAUUUUCACAAAAUUGAUCUUUAGGGUGUUACAGUUUCCUCGCUCAGCAUGAUGGUGCAAAUCGUGGAGCACCGCGCCAAGACUUCAACGGAUUUCCUGGUGAAGAAAGAAGCUGUUUCUUCCACGCCACAGGUUCCCAACCGCCCAGUGUCGGGCACUGCUGCUGUGCACGCUGCACGGCAGCAUACGGCUGCACAGACAUCCCGGACUCCGUCGAGGGCGGCUCCGGGAGCAUUGUUAGCAGCCAGGGAAUUGCUGCGUCACCCUCCAAGCUCCACGGCCUCACCGGGGGCCAUGAAGCAGUGGCAGGAUGACGUCAACCGACAGCUCGACAUGGCACAUUCUACCUCGACCAGGUCGAGGCCACAGUCAUCCCAUCGCCAAUAUGAGGCGUCGACGUCUAUGCGCUCACCCUCAGUGAGGGGUGCACAGACCAACGACCUCUGGGUAGAGCUCAACCACAGGCGUGCGGGAGAGGACGCCCGGGUCUCUUUAGAGAGGGCGUGCGAGCGCCGACAAAACAUCGAGGGUCGCAACCUCGAUCAAGACUUCGCUGAGGUAGUACCACAGGCCCCAAUGGGCACCCGGUCCCAAGCGGGUGUCCCCUUGGCCGGCGUAGGUUGCGCCGCUCUCGUGGAUCAUCUCCGCGCGGCAUCAUGGCCAUCAAAGUUUCGGCCACACCUGCCGGAAAAGUACGAUGGUACGUCAAACCCGUCGGAAUUCCUGCAGGUGUACGUCACCGCUAUCACAGCAGCAGGUGGAAACACCGCAAUGAUGGCGACAUAUUUUCAUGUCGCCUUAUCUGGACCUGCUCGGACUUGGCUCAUGAACCUCUCCCCAGGGUCAAUCUACUCCUGGGAAGAACUCUACGCUCGGUUCGUUGCGAACUUCGCCAGCGCUUACCAGCAACACGGUGUGGAGGCCCACCUCCACGCAGUGAGGCAGGAGCCCAGGGAGACUCUCCGGAUGUUCAUCUCCCGCUUCACCAAGGUGCAAGGUACUAUACCUCGCAUUUCCGAUGCUUCCAUCAUCACGGCCUUCCGCCAGGGAGUACGUGAUGAGAAAAUGUUGGAGAAGUUGGCCACGCAUGACGUGGAGAUUGUCCCCACACUCCUCGCUCUGGCCGACAAAUGCGCCAGAGCCGCCGAGGGUCGUGCAUGGCACUUGGCCCCACAGACUGGGGCUACCCAAUCGGGUGGCUCGGGUGCCAUCCCCCGGGACGGUAAGAAGAAAGAGAAGAAGGACCGCGACCACCAGAAGCCGCGGUCCACUGCGCUGGUCGUUGCAGUUGGGACUGGGGGCCGAGGCGACCGCAACAAACGCCCACGACCACAGAGGGGUAACAGCGGCUCAUGCCCUGUGCACCCCAACGGUCGCCACAACACCGUGGAGUGUCGCGAGAUCAUCGACCUCGCAAAACGCGUCAGCGAGCGGCACGAGUAGUCUUCUAAAGACGGCUCCCCACCUCGUCGCCGACCUGGCAAGGAAAGGGUCGACGACGGCGAGGUGGCCACGGCUGAACGGGACCUCGGGUAUCAGUCACUCGAGGGGGACCUGAAGGAUGUCUUCGUCGGAGACUCCCACUCCGGUGGUGACAACUAGAUGGACCCCCAGAUGGACCCCGUGCUCCCCGGUCUACGGGGCCGAAGCCUGCCUUCCUCCGGAAACCCUUCUGGACUCCCCACGGGUCCAGGCUUCUGACAAGUCCAUACAGAAAUGGCUACAGCACGAGGACGAGGACUCCCUCAUCAAACGCAGAUGGGAACCCAGGGUCGAGACCUAGUCCUACGGCAAGUACCAAACCAAGAAGGGCUCCGAAACUCUCCCCCAGCUGGGAAGGACCCUUCAAGGUGACGGGAAUACGCUGACCCGGGGGUGACUAUCUUGUUAUGACUGAAGGAGUGCCUCUUCCUGGUCACUGGAGCAUCUCUGUAAGUUCUAUCCAUAGGAGCAAGUCUGAGGGUCGAGUUUUUCUCCCUUUUGUAACUAGGUAACGCAUACGUGUACGCCAACCCGGUGAGGUCCGCCCUCAUAAGCCCGGCCUGUUGGUCUGCACCCAUGCAUGACAAGUUAUAAAGAAAAGAUUUACCCCCUCAGAUGUGCCUCUAUGAUAGUUUUAUCCUACUGCUCCAUGGUCUUACCUUGUAGUUUUCCGGAUCUUGUUUUAUCUAACCCACCCAAAUAGUUCCCUUUCCAUCGAACAUAAUGACAUCCGAAUUGAACAGCCAGGCUUGCAGUUUAGGACCUCUCUGCGAAAGAAGGAGGGCCCGAUAGCCUGUGGGCUGGUUCUAAAGAAUGGGAGCCCAUUCCAUGGGGUGGUCCGGAGCCUGUGUGGCCGAUUAGCCUGGUCCCGUACCCGAAAGCCUGCACACUCCACCACUCCGUGACGGGUACCCUAGUAUUUGGAGCUAUAAGUCCUAUGGGUCCGGCAACCUGGGGUCCGAAACUAGAGAAUGGACACUUGUCUCCUAGGGUGGUUCGGAGCCCGUGUAGUCGCUCAGCCUGGUUCCGUACCAUGGGCCCGCAUGAUCCACCACUCUGCGAUGGGUGUCCUAGUACCUAGAACCACCAUCCAGGGGGUCCGGACGCACAACUUGGCCUCCCAGACUAGACCCUGCAAGUCCCGAGCAUGUAUCAAAGAAUGGCUAGUGUCAGAUGGCAGGUCCUGUGGGUGUACUACUAAUGCUCCCUAGUCGAAGCUGUGUGCAGGCCCAGGUCCCAGUCGAGGCUACCUCCUGGGGGCCAUUGCCAAAUCUUUCUUAGGUAUGCUGGUCUGCAACCUCGACAAAUCGAGCCUACAUCCUAGGGGGGCAGGUACCAAGGAGGAAUUGGUUACACCACACACAAUAGGGACAAGUGGUACACAGAUAAGUGCUAAUACUGCUUGAUAAAUAGUACUCGAAAGUACCUUAGGAAAAGCAAAAGUAUUACAUCCGCUUUCAAGCGGAGUCCUAGCUCCAUCUCUACUCUGCAGGAAUGGACUACUCUGCACCAGCAGGGUCGCGUUGGAAGCUAGCUCUGGGCAGCCUCACCAACGGCGGCGACCACCUCUACUCCAAGCGGCUCGCCAGCGGAGGCGGCCACCUCUGCACCAACGGCUCGCCAGCGGCGGUGGCCACCUUUGCACCGGUGGCUUGCCGGCGACGGUGGCCACCUCAGCGCGUGCGAAGAGGUCCUCGCCCCCGUCCUCCUACGGGGGUGAGGACAAGACCAUCCAAGAACGCGGCCACCACCUCCACAGCGUAUGACAUCUUGUACAACCCCCCAGGCAGCGUCGGAGCAGUGCGGCCAGCGGCGCAGGGGACACCACGGAUGCGGUGGACCUGCGCACGACGCGACCGUCGCCCGUGCGGUGGACGGAAAGCCAUGCCCCGCUUGGCGGUGGGAGGCAGCGUUGGAGGCGGCACCAAAACCAUCAAAGCCAAAGAGAUGGAGCCGCAGCACGGCUCGCUUCCCACCCCAAAGAGUUGGGGGUGCGUGGGAUGGAGCCGUGGCUCAACCCGCUGUCCACCUUCACGAGGCUGGUGAUCAUCCUUCCCUCCGAAUGCUAGAGGAAGAAGCGGGAAGGAGCGUCGCCUCCACGGACAUCCCGCGGAGGUAGGCGACGAUGGCUGCCUGAAGGAUGAAGCAGGACACCACAGGUAGAGGCUGGGGGCUAAGCCCCUCCAGCAGCUGCACGAAGAAAGAUGGGAUCGGCAGAGCCAACCCGCUGGGGAGUUUGGAAACAAAGAACACAAACUCUUUGACAGCAAGGUCGCCGAGAGGAGAGACACCAGCACAAGUCCUCCCGGCAAAUGCCAGCACACCCCAUCCGAGCGGGUUGCGCGCCAAGUUGAGUGCCACCUCGGGCUGGAAGCGCUCGCAAGGGUCUAGCAAGGCCAUGGUGACUACGGCAACGCGAAGCAGAGACCUUGAAGGAAAAGGGGCACGGAGAGCUCGGAGGCGAAGGGACGCCGUGAGAGGGAGAGAAGCAAGGCAUGGCUGCUAUUCGAGGGAUGAACCCCUCUUUAAAGGCAGGCUCCCCUGCUCCCGCCUCGAAGCGCCGUGAGAAGCCUCCCCCAAUGCACACCGAGGUAUCCAUCCCAUGACACGGGGGCCCAGUCCCACAAGUCAUAUAGCUGGCGCGCUGGCCUUCGAGUGCGAAGAAGGCGAACCGCCGCACAGGAAGCGUGCUACCGCCCCGCGGUAGUACGCCUCCUUCAUCUUCACUACGACCAACGGUCAGGAAGGCGAACCACAGCACAAGGAGCAUGCUACCGCCCCGCGGUAGUGCGCCCCCUCGUCUUUGCUGCAACCUGCGGUCCAACCUCUGGCAUGGGGGCCCAGGCCCACAUGUCACGCACCCGGCGUGCUGGUUUCUGGGUGCAGAGAAGUCGCACCGCCACUCGCACCAAUACCGCGUCUCCUCAGGGCCGUCGCAGAAGACUGAGAAGAUAAAUUUUCAAAACCAAUGCAGCAACUCGAGGCACCCCGUGCAUGGCCCAACAAAGACAUUAAGUGCGGAGGUCACGGGUCAGCCAGCCGCAGGGACAGGCAUGGCAGUCGGCGUGACCAUGGGCGGACCGGCAGUAAUUGCAUCAACGGGCGCGCAGGGGCAGCGAGCCAAUCACCAAUAAAACUUUGGCCCCACCUGCAGGCCCGUAUCCUCCCCUGAGGCGGGCCCAGGGGCCACUGUCGGUACCCUGAAUCAGGAGUACCCCUUACUGAAGUAUGAAGACACGGAGCCCGUACGAUGUUCUCUAGUCGCACGAUGAACAAUACCCGACCCCACCACGUGGGCGGCUCGGGGGCACCACGUGGUGAGAAAAGAUGAUACAUCCCAGGAUGUAUAAGUUGGACCGGACCACCGCAAGAAAGCACCGAACCCCUGUACGCACAACCCGGACCCUCGAUUACGUCCCGGGACUCCCAAGCAAGCAUGUCGGAUCCCUUGGAUGGGGUCCAGAUCCCUCUGAGUAAGGUUCGGGCCACAACGAGGUCCCAGAACAGGGGAGACCCUGGCAUAAGCAAGGGUCUGGUACUGACACGUGUCCAGGCCUUAUCCUGUGCGCUUGCGCUCCCUGCUCAAGCGGAGACCCGAUGCUGCCACGUGGCUUGUUGUCCGUGACAUAAGCCAGCGGGUGGAGCCUGACGUAAGGCCUCUAGGCCGCGCGGUCUCUGCAUUUAUUGCGGAGAGGACGCACCGCCUGUCCACCCUGCUGACAGGCGAUGUGCCCCCUCAGCAUUUAAUGCAUCCUGUCCACUCCGCUGGCAGGCGGCGCUAGGGUCAUCUUGCAGACAGCGCACCUGUCCAGUCCAUUGUCAAACAGUGCGCCCAUGCUGUGCGGCGCACUGUGCUCAUCAUCCCUUAUACGAUAAGCUUCUCCUGCAUGCCGAUGCUACACAGAUCUCGGAUGUCAGGGCGCAAGAAGAUUGCUCCAACAGCAAACAUUAGUAGCUCCAAGUACUACAUCCGUUAUGUUCCUGGGCCCACAUGUCGGGGCUCAGUACCCUUGUACAUGCCCCCUUAGCUAUAAAAGGGGAGGCAUGCAACUUUACGGAGGGGCUCUCUUAGACAAAAAACUGAGACUCUCACCUCUCAAGCCUCCACAGCAAUCCAACACACAGUGGAGUAGGGUAUUACGCUCCGACGGCCCGAACCACUCUAAAUCCUCGCGUGUUCGUGUGCUCGGUGUUCGUGUCCUACCUUUUUCAUAAACUAGUUUUCCCUAAAUUGACAUACUAUAUACAAAAUCUAUCCAAAUUUUGAAGAUCAAAUUUGUUCCAUUUAAUUAUUCAUGACUUAUAUCUUGGUAUUGCUUUUUUGUCAUCAGAAUAUAUUUUGAACACAGUAAAAGUUAUACACGAUUUUUUUAGACAAUACUAAAGUAAGUUGUAAUCAAGAACACUUGACGUGUGAACCAAUUGCCACUUUUAGAUAUAAUCAUUGUAAUUUUGGUCAUCCUAUGUGUGUGCAUUCAUCUAUGCAUUCUAGGAUUUCAAUUAGUCUCAAUCUUGUAGUAUUUGUUCCUUGAUUGUCAAAUCACUUCUCAUCUAACUACUAUGCUUGUUUAACCAUCAGAACAUAACUACAACAAAAUCCAUUUAUAAAGGUUUUGAUAGCAAACUUUACAUAUUCAUAUCAUGUUAAGGUUGUCACAUGUUUAAAGGUGAAGAGAUCAUGCAUGUCAUUCCACGUAGAUGAAAAGAAUUCCUAUAUAAAAUGACACAUUUUCUUGUAGGUAGUGGAAAGUAUCUUUCCAGCAAAGACUAUAAUCCGAUAAAGUUGAUAACUAAAUGUCGAAAAAGAGUAGAUGCCAUAUCAUCUAUACCUUAUCUGUUGUUUGGAAAAAAAGACUAACUACAAAAAAUAUAUAUGAGAUCUCACUUGUAUAAAUAGCUCCCAAAUCAGUAGUUAACCAUCACCCAUAAUAUUUUGAACAUUCAGAAACACACCUAGCGAAGCGCACUAGCAACGACAUAACAACAAUGGCUACUAAGAUAUUAUCCCUCCUUGCGCUUCUUGCCCUUUUUGUUAGCGCAACAAAUGCGUUCAUUAUUCCACAAUGCUCACUUGCUCCUAGUGCCAUUAUUCCACAGUUCCUCCCACCAGUUAGUUCAAUGGGCUUCGAACAUCCAGCUGUGCAAGCCUACAGGCUACAACAAGCGCUUGCGGCGAGCGUCUUACAACAACCAAUUGCCCAAUUACAACAACAAUCCUUGGCACAUCUAACAAUACAAACCAUCGCAAUGCAACAGCAACAGCAACAACAGUUCCUACUAGCACUGAGCCACCUAGCCAUGGUGAACCCUGGCGCCGACUUGUAACAACAACUGCUUGCAUCCAACCCACUUGCUCUGGCAAACGCAGUUGCAAACCAGCAACAACAACAGCUGCAACAGUUUCUGCCAGCGCUCAGUCAACUAGCCAUGGUGAACCCUGCCGCCGACCUACAACAGCAACAACUGCUUUCAUCUAGCUCGCUCGCUGUGGCCAAUGCACCUACAUACCUGCAACAACAAUUGUUGCAACAGAUUGUACCAGCUCUGACUCAGCUAGCUGUGGCAAACCCUGCUGCCUACUUGCAACAGCUGCUUCCAUUCAACCAACUGACUGUGUCGAACUCUGCUGCGUACCUACAACAGCGACAGCAGUUACUUAAUCCACUGGCAGUGGCUAACCCAUUGGUCGUUGCCGUCCUACAGCAGCAACAUUUGCUGCCAUACAACCAGUUCUCUUUGAUGAACCCUGUCUUGUCGAGGCAGCAACCCAUCGUUGGAGGUGCCAUCUUUUAGAUUACAUAUGAGAUGUACUCGAUAAUGGUGCCCUCAUACCGGCAUGUGUUUUCUAGAAAUAAUCAAUAUAUUGAUUGAGAUUUAUCUCGAUAUAUUUCUCAACUAUGUUCAUCAUAUAAAUAAUUGAAAACAUCAAAUCGUAAUUAUAAACUCAUCCUUGGUCAAUACAUAGACAAUACGAUAUUACUUCAACAUCCCAAUGAUGUCAUAGCCCAACCUCUUGAAUGUUACUGUUUUAAUGUGUGAGGGUAUAUUUAUAAGAUUGACGUGACUAUUUGUGCUUUUUUUGAGUACAUACAUAUAUGGUAUGUUGAUUUGAUAUAGUGAUGGACACAUGCUUUGACCAUGAAUAUUCAAAUCAGUUGUACUUGCACGAAGCAAAACAUAAUAUAAGUUUAGGAGUAGACUUAUAACUAUGUCCAAACAUGCUCACACAAAUUCAUACCACAUUAUAAUUUUUUGGUAAAUAUUCCACACAUGUAUGUUUUAUAAGAACCCAAAUUUUGCAGACAAAUGCUGAAUUGUAGACAUGUAGAAUUCUUUGAAGCUCGUGAACUUAACAACACCAAGGUCAUUAAAUCAACUCGACCCUAUGAGUAACAAUUUCGAUAUUGCAAACACCAAAUUAUAGAACUUAUUGGCUGAAAAAUUAUGAGCAAUGUGAAGUUUAAAUUAUUAUACCAUAAAUAUAUCAAAGAAUUUUUUUGAGGAACGUAAAAAUUGCAUGGAAUGGGCUGCCCAACGUGCUAGCUCACUUCUAUGCUAGGUAGCAUUACCAAAGAUGGGAAUGUUGCUGAUGAACGCAAAACCCACUCAAAUCAUAUAUAUAUUUGGGAUGUUUAGUUGUAAAAGUGAAGACCUAAGAUAAAAGUACCAAUUGUCCAAUGACAUUCAAUUAUUUUGUUCGGGGAGCACUUUGUGUGUCAUUUGGACUCGUAUCUUAGUCCAAUAGAUUGCAUUUUCCUUCAAUGUGUAGAAUCCGACAAAGUGCUUGUUCCAAAAUUGUAAAUCUAACUAAAUUAUAAAGCUUGUUACUAAUUUGAUGGUUUAUUAGGUGUAGCUCAUAAAACUAGAACCAACAUAGCCUGCACUCACAUGUCAUAGAAAAUAGGAGUAUCCAAGCACAAUUUGUGUGAGCAUACAUGACACAAAUUAUAUAUAGACUGAUAUAAUUAAUUCCUUGAAAAAAGAAAAAGGAAACAAUAAAAUGUUUUUUGAUAUUGCAGGAUAUCUCCUUUAGCUAAUGAGGAGUACUAAAAAGAUGUUGCACUUUUGGGUGGCGAGAAUUCGUCAAUCAUAACUUUGACAUAAUUUUAAUCCGGAUCACAUAUAUAUCAUCAUAUAUUAAUUAUUAAAUUAAUAUGGUUCCAUCAUCGUAUUAUUAAUUCAAUCCGAUAUAACCAUCAGAUCUUAAUUAUUAAAUUAAUCUGGAGCGUACAUUAUAUUAUCAAACCAAAUCAACCCGACAUAACCAUCUAAUGUUCCGCUAUGCACAAUAAGCGCAUGGUCUGGGGCUUAAUCAUCCGGAAUAACCAUCCGAUCUUCUGGUAAGCAUAGUAAGCGUAUGGUUCACGACUUUGUCAUUCGGAAUAACCAUUAGAUUUUCCGGUAUGCACUGAAAGCAAAUGAUCCGGGGUUUUGGUAGGUGUAACGUUGUUAGGUGAAUGCGUAUGUUGGCUGCUGUUGCACGUGCGAACUGCUGUGUGGAAGCUGCUGGGUCCUCCUCUAUUAUGUGUGGCUUGUGGCGGGCUUGGACUGCUCUCAUGGCUUCGUCACUUGGAACUGCUCGUCCGUCCGGUCCUGCGUGCAUCUCUCUCUCCUAGCUGGAGGCGUGGUGGCCUGGUGGUUUCUCUGUGUUUUUCUUUUUACGACGGCUUCUCUUGUUGGCUAGGGUUGGCAUCAGGGGCCCGGUCAGCUAUGCUCCCUCAGCUUUUAUAGGCAGCGAACCACCGCAGGCAGAGCAGAGAUAAAGAUUCCAACUGCAUCCAUCUACAAACAAGGAUCUCGACGGAAGAGAUAAAAGCAUGCAGCACAAUUGCCGCUGCCCUACUGCAGCCUUGACUCUCGUCAAUUGGAUGACCAAAAGAUGCCACCGUCUAAGCUCUUUUCUUUGUGCAGCUGCCUGUUUGUCACCAACACAAAAUUUGUAGGUGCAUGUUUGUCACCAAUUAUCCUCUACCACAAAGAACUACAAUAGUGGUGGAGGAUCCGAUCCGGCACAGAUCCACUAUAAUGCAUAGUUGGUGAUGCAUGCCUAAUGGUGGUUGUUUAGUGUUAGUUUGGGCAUGUUGGAACUAAGCAAUUGUCGAUGCCAUACACUAGAAGUGAAGAAUGUUGUUAGCGUUAGGAGUAGAGGUGUCAAUGGGGACCGAUGCCCGUUAAGCCAUGGAGAAUUUCUCUAUUAGAUUUAGGGUAUGGGAAGAUUUUAAUUUCCAUUUGCUGAAUUUAGGUAUACAUCUAUUUGAAUCAACAGUUACAGUUCAACAAAAACUCUUUCCGCUCUAGUUUGUUUCGUGUCCUACCUUUUUCCUAAACUAGUUUUCCCUAAAUUGACAUACUCUCUAGAAAAUAUAUCCAAAUUUUGAAGAUCAAAUAUGUUCCAUUGAAUUAUUCAUGACAUAUAUCUUGGUAUUGCUUUUUUGUCAUCAGAAUAUAUUUUGAACUCAGUAAAAGUUAUACACGAUUUUUUUAGACAAUACUAAAGCAAGUUGUAAUCAAGAACAUUUGAGGUGUGCGCCAAUUUCCACAUUUAGAUAUAAUCAUUCUAAUUUUGGUCAUCCUAUGUAUGUGCAUUCAUCUAUGCAUUCUAGGAUUUCAAUUAGUCUCAAUCUUGUAGUAUUUGUUCCUUCAUUGUCAAAUCACUUCUCAUCUAACUACUAUGCUUGUUUAACCAUCAGAACAUAACUACAACAAUAUCCAUUUAUAAAGGUUUUGAUAGCAAACUUUACAUAUUCAUAUCAUGUUAAGGUUGUCACAUGUGUAAAGGUGAAGAGAUCAUGCAUGUCAUUCCACGUAGAUGAAAAGAAUUCCUAUAUAAAAUGACACCUUUUCUUGUAGGUAGUGGAAAGUAUCUUUCCAGCAAAGACCAUAUAAUCCGAUAAAGUUGAUAACUAAAUGUCGAAAUAGAGUAGAUGCCAUAUCAUCUAUACCUUAUCUGUUGUUUGGAAAAAGACUAAAUCCAAAAAUAUAUAUAUAAGAUCUCACUUGUAUAAAUAGCUCCCAAAUUAGUAGUUAACCAUCACCCAUAAUAUUUUGAGCAUUCAGAAACACACCUAGCGAAGCGCACUAGCAACGACCUAACAACAAUGGCUUCCAAGACAUUAUCCCUCCUUGCGCUUCUUGCCCUUUUUGUGAGUGCAACAAAUGCGUUCAUUAUUCCACAAUGCUCACUUGCUCCGAGUGCCAUUAUUCCACAGUUCCUCCCUCCAGUUACUUCAAUGGGCUUCGAACACCCAGCUGUGCAAGCCUAUAGGCUACAACAAGCGCUUGCGGCGAGCGUCUUAGAACAACCAAUUGCCCAAUUACAACAACAAUCCUUAGCACAUCUAACCAUACAAACCAUCGCAACGCAGCAGCAACAAGCACUGAGCCACCUAGCCGUGGUGAACCCUAUCGCCUACUUGCAACAACAGCUGCUUGCAUCCAACCCACUUGCUUUGGCAAACGUAGCUGCAUACCAACAACAACAACAGUUGCAACAGUUUCUGCCAGCGCUCAGUCAACUAGCCAUGGUGAACCCUAUCGCCUACCUACAACAGCAACAACUUCUUUCAUCUAGCCCGCUCGCUAUGGGCAAUGCACCUACAUACCUGCAACAACAGUUGUUGCAACAACAGUUGCUGCAACAAAUUGUACCAGCUCUUACUCAGCUAGCUGUGGCAAACCCUGCUGCCUACUUGCAACAACUACUUCCAUUCAACCAACUGACUGUGUCGAACUCUGCUGCGUACCUACAACAGCGACAACAGUUACUUAAUCCACUAGCGGUGGCUAACCCAUUGGUCGCUGCCUUCCUACAGCAGCAACAAUUGCUGCCAUACAACCAGUUCUCUUUGAUGAACCCUGCCUUGUCGUGGCAGCAACCCAUCGUUGGUGGUGCCAUCUUUUAGAUUACAUAUGAGAUGUACUCGAUAAUGGUGCCCUCAUAGCGGCAUGUGUUUCCUAAAAAUAAUCAAUAUAUUGAUUGAGAUUUAUCUCGAUAUAUUUCUGAACUAUGUUCAUCAUAUAAAUAAUUGAAAACAUCAUAUCAUAAUUAUAAACUUAUGCUUGGUCAAUACAUAGACAAUACAAUAUUACUUCAUCAUCCCAAUGAUGUCCAAGCCAAACCUCUUGAAUGUUACUGUUUGGGUGUGUGCGGGUGUAUUUAUAAGAUAGAUGUGACUAUUUGCGCUUUUUGUUGAGUACACACAUAUAUGGUAUGUUGAUUUGAUAUAGUGAUGGACACAUGCUUUGACCAUGAAUAUUCAAAUCAGUUGUACUUGCACGAAGCAAAACAUAAUAUUAGUUUAGGAGUAAACUUAUAACUGCGUCCAAACAUGCUCACACAAAUUCAUACCACAUUAUAUUUUUUUGGUAAGUAUUCCACACAUGUAUUUUUUACAAGAACCCAAAUUUUGCACACAAAUGUAGCAUUCUAGAUAUGUAUAAUUCUUUGAAGCCCGUGAACUUAACAACAGCAAGGUCAUUAAAUCAAUUGGACCCUAUGAGUAAUAAUUUCGAUACGCAAACACCAAAUUAUGGAACUUAUUGGCUGAAAAAAUUAUGAUCAAUGUAAAGUUUAAAUUAUUAUACCAAAAAUAUAUCAAAGAACUUUUUUGAGGAACGUAAAAAUUGCAUGGAAUGGGCUGUCUAACGUGCUAGCUCACUUUUAUGCUAGGUAGCAUUACUAAAGAUGGGAAUGUUGCUGAUGAACGCCAAACCCACUCAAAUAAUAUUUAUAUUUGGGUUGUUUAGUUGUAAAAGUGAAGAUCCAAGAUUAAAAUACCAAUUGGCCAUUGUCAUUCGAUUGUUUUGUUUAGAGAGCACUUGGUGCGUCAUUUGGACUCGUAUCUUAGUCCAAUAGAUUGCAUUUUCCUUCAAUGUGUAGAAUCCGACAAAGUGCAUGUUCUAAAAUUGUAAAUCUAACUAAAUUAGAAAGCUUGUUACUAAUUCGAUGGUUUAUUAGUUGUAGCUCAUAAAACUAGAACCAACAUAGCCUGCACUCACAUGUCAUAGAAAAUAGGAGUAUCCAAGCACAAUUUGUGUGAGCAUCCAUGACACAAAUCAUAUAUAGACUGAUACAAUUAAUUCCUUCAAAAAUAAAAAAGGAAAAAAUAAAGUGUUUUUGGAUACUGUAGAAUAUCGAGCGAAGGGUGACGUCUUCACCUUCGCCCCAACAUUUGCCCUCCGAGGGACCAGUUCGACUAAGUCAUUUGGUGCCGAAGGUGUCGCUAGAUGGUGGAGACGCUGCCCUCGCUCGAAGUGGUUCCGCGGGGGUUUUUGACAUGACCGUUGAUUGACGCCACACUGUUGGAUUGCUGGCUUCCCGAAGCGUCGCGCCCUGUGUAUAUAAAGGGGGUGGGGGCGGCGGGGAUUGAAAUUUACCUUUCUGCGCGCCGCGAAAACCCUAGCCUCCCUGUCAAACUGCUCGCUUGCUCGUCUGCCCUCCUUGCUCCUGUUCGUCGGAGAACUGGCCCACGUGAAGCAGACUGUGCGCCGCCGUCGACGGUACGUAGCCAUGCCGUCUUCCUCCUCGUCUGCUGCGACCACGCCGACGGCCAAGGCGACUUCCGAAGAUCUCUCGGGCACUGUGGCGGCGGCGGAAUUACGACCGGGUGAUACGGUGGAAUUCGGUGUUUCGCGGAUGUCGUUGGUCCGCGUGCAAGAUAUGCAACAGUUGGUGUAUUUUGGCGGCGGGGUUGGUCGAGUCCCGGGGCCAGAGGAGGUCCCCGAGCUCGAGGGCGAAUUGGUUGUUUUUGAGGCAUUUUUCAUCGCCGGCCUUCGCCUGCCUGCGCAUCGUUUUAUGUCGGAGGUUCUGCAGAAGUUCAAAGUCCAGGUUCAUUAGCUCACACCGAACGCCGUGGUGGCGUUGGCGAAGUAUGUCUGGGCAACGACGUCGUAUGGCGGUCAGCCUUCGGUGGAAGUCUUCGCCAAGCAAUACGGUCUGCAUUGGCAGAAGAGAAAAAAUGGACAUAAGAUUGCUCAAUUCGGAUCAUGCACUUUCACGCCGAAGUCCGGGAAGACUUCGAUGGAAGUGGUGGAGCUGGUCCCCUGUGCCCAAAAUAAGUGGGGCAACUGGUGGGACUACUGGUUCUAUGUUUCGGAGGCUGAAGUCGAAGAUCACCCAGGGCUCCCUGCCGCCAUUAUGUGCUCUCAUUACUAUGUGGCAUACCCGCCAUUUGAAGUGGCGGAGGAUGAUGAAAAUGAAAGGGCCCUUCGGAUCGCUGCCCGCACGAGUAGUGGGCGCGAUCUAGUUGAGGAAUUCAUAGGGUAUGGGGUGUGGCCCUUGGCGCAUGGAUGGGCGUUGGGCAAAGUAUGCCCUCGCGAGAUGCCCUCCCUGGGCGGGCGGAAGGUGCGAAGUCCGCUUUUUGCUUUGGAUGUGCGAGGGCGGGAUCCUGCCGCGGUUGUGCAUGAGGCGGAGGAUGGGGCGGUGAGAAUUGUUGGGUGCUACGUGCCGAAGACGGAGGCCCAGCGGAGUUGGGAUAUACGUGGAUCCAACGACCGCCUGAAUAGGGUCUUCGAGUUGAAUUGUUUGCCGUAUGGCGGUUAUCCCGGGGAAGACGUUGUCGACCACAGCGGGAAAAAACCAGCGGCUGUGACUGAAGACGACCCCGCGUCGGAGGCCGCCCCAGCCACUAAGAAGAGGAAGCUAGGUACUGCGGUGGGAGAACUGGGGGUCUCCGAUAGUUUUGCUAUGGAGUUGAUGGGGACAUGCGUGGCCCCCGGGGGAAGGAUGUCUUCGCCCGAGCUCCGGGAGUCUUCGGCGCGGAUGUUGGAGGUUACCGGGGGUCGAUGGCCCAAAAACGUUCCUAUCCCCCGCGCGGCUGGCGAAGACUUCUUUACAUCUCGCAUGGCUCGUGACUUGAGAGUGUUUCCUUACAGACGGAAUAUUGCUGUUGUUGUGUCGAUAGUGAUGAACAAGGAUCACCAGGAUGCUGCGCAGAAGCGUCGGGCGGUCAUCAGGCUCCCCGACGCUAGGCGUGAAGCGAAGAGAGCGCGAGGGAGUGCGAAGGCUAUCGUCCCCGGCGGUAGCCAGCCGAUGCUGGCUGCAAAGCCGGCCGCGCCUGGAUCCAGCAAGGUGCCGGAGAGCGGGAAGGCGGUCGGCGCCGGUGGAACCAAGUCUGCCCCGGACGGAGCUGUGAAGGUCCGGGAGCUGCCUUCGACGGGGAAACGCGUUGCCGACUUCGGCAUGAAUAUUAGCGUGGACGACUAUCUCGUUGGUAAGCAUUUUUUUUAUUCUGACCGGUGAUACGUUGCAGGGUCGAGUGAGGGGCAACUGGUUGUUGUCCCACCUGUGGUGGCAACCACGGCGUCAACCGCGGUGCUUGGGGUGAAGGGUGGCGCUUUCAGCGCUGGCGGCGAGAUUUCGGCGGCCACUGCCGUCAAGGACGAAGCGGGCACUAUGUCCCGCCGGCUGAGGGAGGCGUCGCAGCAGCUAAGUCAAGUAAGUUGAGCUGGACUUCGGUGUUUCCUGCUUUCAUGGGGAUUGUGGUCUCAUGUGUGUCUGUUAGGCGGCCGACUUCGCCGACCGCGUGGCGUCGGGUGCCCUUACUGCAGAUGUGUCUGCCGAAGUCGAGAGACUUUGGGCGCAGCACGCGGACGCCGUCCGGGAGAAGUCGGCUGCGGAGAGCAAGAGCCACAGGCUGGCGGAGAAGGUGGCCGCCCUGGAGGGCGAGAGGAUGGACCUCCGGCGCCAGUUGGUGGAGGAAAGGAGGGAGGCCAACCAGGCCAUCGCCAAGGUGCAGGCGGCGCAGGCGGAGGCCAAAUUGGCGUGGGCGGAGGGGAGUCUCGCCAGCCAACGCGCCGAGGAAUGGGAGGUGCGGUUCAACGCUCUGCACGCCCGCAUGGAGAGGGCCGAGGCCUCUACGCGCUCGGAAGUUGAGCGAACGCGCAAACAGCUCGUGGACUCAUACCGGGAGCUGGGUGCGCGGACUGCUGACUUCGAGGUGCCCGACCGAGAAGCGAGCCUUCGCUUCCUCGAGUGGCUGCAAGAGGAAUUGCUGGCACUCCCGACCAUCGUGGAGGGAUUCAUGUCUUUUGCCUCCCUCGUCACCUGCGAAGGGGCCAUGAAUGCGUUGUCCCGCAAGGGAUGCAAUCACUAUGAGGGCUUCGACCGGUCCGAUGAAGACUUUGGGCGCGAAAUUUUUAAGGUCGAAGACCCUGUGGUGAAGGAUUCUGCGGGGGCCCUCUUCGAUCGGAUGUGGGGUCCUCAUGGCCGGGAGGCGGUCAAGGAGCGGUCUGAUCGGGCGAGAGAGCAUGUAAGUCUUGUCUGUUGUUUCGUGUGAUUGAAUGUGGGUACGUGUGGGUUUGCUGAAUGAGUGUGUUGUUGCUGCAGAUGGCGCAUGCUGAGGAUGUCAAAGACCUCGGAGGUCUAAACAGUGCGCCGCCCGAGGCUGCGGAGGGCAGACCGGUGCUGCCCUCGGAUGCUGGUGAACGCCCAUCGGACGUGCCCGUGCCUGCUGCUGUCGGCGAAGACCCUGUGUCGGCCCCUGUGCCGACAGUCAAAGGCGCUCAUGAGGUGGUGGCGGAGCCGGUGGUCGAAGGCCCUACGGCCGCGGAGGCGCCCGCGCAGGUGGCUAAGUAGUUGAAUAGGUUUAGGGGGGUUGUAAAUUUUGUCUACGUGUUACUGAACCUCGGUUGCUGCGCAGGUUCAGGGUUUUGGGCCUGCGUACGCAACCGCUACUGAAAGUGCUAAUUUUGUGGCGGCUUCGACCGUGGUUGCGGAAAAUGAUUCGGGUGAUUCUGUGUCUAAGUUUUUUGAGUCUGAUGAUUCUGUGAGUUCGGUGGUGUGGACUGAAGAGUCUUCGGAUGAGGACUUGGAUUAUUUUGCGGCAUUGGAUGUGGCUGCGGCGGAGGCUUCGCCGUGUGUGAUGGGUGCUGAGGUUCUCGGUCCGAGCGCUGGGCGUAGGCGGCAAAGGGCGGUGGCGAAGCGCGGAGUGAGUGAGGUGGAGGGUGGUCGUCUUCGUGUGGACAGGGCUGGUAGGCGGGAAUUGUUGUCCUUGCCAGAUGGGGCGAGUGUAGGUGAGGGGGAAUUGCGAAGUCUGUUUGAGGGUGAGGAGCUGAGGAUAAUGUUGUUUAACUAUAGGGAGAUGGGUAUCAUCCCGAAGGUUGAACCAUUGUAAGGUGUGAUGCCCUCGUUGUACGUAUGUAACUAUAAUUUGUAUGAUGAGGCUGUGUGCCUUAGCUGAUACGGUCGUGCCCGUAGGGGACUUGUGCACUAGGUCUAGCACGUUUAUUAUGUCGGUCCAGCUGCACCCUCAGGCGACUUUUGCACGGAUAGUCUUGGGAGGAAGACUUCGAUUUUUCGCACUUGUUGUGCUAGUCCGGCUGCACCCUUAGGCGACUUUUGCACGGAUAGUCUUUUGGAGAAGACUUCGAUUUUGCGCACUUGUUGUGCUAGUCUGGCUGCACACUUAGGCGACUUUUGCAUAGACAAUAUUUUGGGGAAGACUGGUUUUGCGCACUUUUUGUGCUAGUCCGGCUGCACCAUUAGGCGACUUUUGCACGGAUAGUCUUUUGGGGAAGACAUGUUUUGCGCACUUGUUGUGCUAGUCCGGCUGCGCCCUUAGGCGACUUUUGCGCGGACUGUCGCACGUGAGGGUAGCCAGCGCUGCCCCUCGCGGUGACUUCGUGUUUGUCGAAUGUCGAAGACUGUCGAUGCGGUCUUCUUUCGACGUUGUAAUUUUUUGCGGGGGAUUUUUUGCGUGUAUAUUACAUGGCUCCACCUCAUUAAAAACCUCACCCCCCGGUAGGAAAAGAGUGCGGGCCGGAAUAAAAACUGUCUUGCGAAUUACAAGGGUGAGCUGGCCCUAAGGAGUCAAACAAAAAACUUGCGAAGAUUGUCAAUGUUCCAAGAAUGUUCAAAGUCUUCGCCAGAUGGCGUUGUGAGCCUGUACGCGCUGGGGGACGCCUUCGUCUUGACAAUGAAAGGGCCCUCCCAUUUUUGCUCUAGCCUGCCCCGGGACUCUGUCCGAGUUGUCCGGACGAGUACGAGGUCUCCUUCGCUAAAUUCCCUCGGGAUGACUGUGUGGUCGCGCCAUGCUUUUGUUUGAGCUUGGUAUUUGUUUAGAGCCUGUAGGGAGAAGACACGGUCUCCGUCGAUGAGGUCCUUCGAAGUAGGUUCGUCUACGUCGGGGACGGCUGACGCGACUGUCCGCAGUGACCCAUGUUUUAUUUCUUGCGGAGUCAUGGCCUCCGAUCCAUAUAGAAGGCGGAAAGGGGUGAACCCAGUCGCCCUGAACUCAGUCGUGUUCAGCGCCCAGACCGCUUUAGGUAACAGGUCUGCCCACUUUCCUUUUUUGUCGUCGAGGAGCAUUUUCUUGAUGGCUGUGAAAAUUUUACCGUUGGCGCGUUCCACAACUCCGUUGGAUUGCGGGUGGUACACUGAGGCGAAGGCAAGCUUGGUGCCGAUGGAGAAGCAGAAAUCCUUGAAGUCUUGGCUGUCAAAUUGCUUGCCAUUGUCAGCUGUGAGUUCGGACGGGACUCCGAAGCGGCAAACAAUGUUUUGCCAGAAGAAUUUCUGGGCAGUCUUCGAUGUUAUCGUGGAUACAGUCCUCGCCUCGAUCCAUUUGGUAAAAUACUCGACGGCGACGAAGGUCAACUUGAGGUUCCCCUAGGCCGUGGGUAGGGGCCCGACAAUGUCCAGGCCCCAGCGCUGAAGAGGCCACGUGUGGGCGAUUAGCUUUGUGAAUUGCGAAGGGCUUCCCGAGCGUGGAGAAAAUUUCUGGCAGGCUUCGCAGGACCUUGUGACCCGAUUUGCAGCGCAGAUCAUGGCGGGCCAGUAGAAACCUUGAUGGAUCACCUUUGCGGCUAGGGCCCUGGGCCCUGCGUGAGAGCCGCAAGUCCCGCUGUGGACUUCGCGCAGAAUUUGGACGCCUUCGGUCUCGGUGACACAUUUAAGCAUGGGUUGACUGACCCCCUUUUUGUAAAGUUGGCCUUCGAUUAGUGCGAAGUCCCGGCUUCGAUGUUUGAGGCACUUGGCCUCAUUGAUAUCGGUUGGAUGAUAGUACCCCUGCAGGAAUAGGGUUAUUGGUGCCCGCCAGUCUUCGGUCAUGAUGAGGUUGACUAUGCGGUGGCCCUCGCUGUCAUUGGUUAUUUGGAGCCCCUCUGGGCUGCGGAAGGCUGGCGUGCCAAUGACAUGGUAGAAUACAUCGGAGGGCAGGGCCUCGCCUCUGGCGGCUGCCUUGGCUAAUGCGUCGGCCUCCUCAUUCUUGGCUCGGUCCACAUGCUGUAAGGUAAAACCUUUGAAUUGUCUUUCGAGACUGCGGAUAGUCGCGAGGUACUGCAUAAGUGUGGGGUCCUUCGUUGUGUAGUCUUUCUCGACUUGGCCGACGACUAUCUUGGAGUCUGUUCUGAUGAUGCAGGUGGUGACACCAAGUGGCCUUAGCUUGCGAAGGCCGAGAAUGAUAGCUUCGUAUUCUGCUAUAUUGUUAGUGCAUCUGUCAGACUCCAAAGCAAAGCUGAGGCGUGCUGCGUAUCUGUGCUUGACCCCUGUGGGUGACGUAAUGACUACAGCGGUGCCUGCCCCCGCAUGGCACCAUGCGUCGUCGCAAUGGAUUGUCCAUACCCUCUCCGCGGACGUGUCCGGCUGUGUUAUUGGCCCAGUCCAGUCGACGACGAAGUCUGCCAGGACUUGUGACUUGAUGGCUGUCCUGGGUUUGAAUGUGAUGUGUUAGCCGGAGAGUUCGGCUGCCCAUUUGGCAAUCCGGACUGAUGCCUUCGGGUUUCUAAACAAUUCGCUGAGUCCCCUAUCUGAGGUGACCCGGACCUUGAACGCUUCAAAAUAAUGGCGCAAUUUGCACGAAGCCAUAACAACUGCGUAGGCGAUUUUUUCCAGUUCCGUCAUAUUGCAUUUUGAUGUCGUGAGUACUUCGGAGACGUAAUAAACUGGACAUUGCCUGAACGAGCCCUCUCUAUUCCGCUCUUAGACCAGUGAUGCGCUGACCGCAUGCGGCGAAGCUGCGAUGUAGAGCAACAGUGGUAGCGAGGGGUCUGGGCUUGUAAGAAUCGCCAAUUCUGACAGAUACUGCUUCAAAGAGGCGAAGGCCGCCGCCUGCUCUGGUCCCCAUGCGAAGUCUUUUGCGCCGCGGAGUGUUUUGAGGAAAGGGAGACUUCGCUCUGCGGAUUUGGAGAUGAAUCUGUUGAGGGCGUCCAAUCUGCCUAUUAGUCGUUGGACGUCUCUGGCUGACUGUGGGGCGUCAUGUUGAUGAUGUCCUGAAUUUUGGUUGGAUUGGCUUCGAUCCCAUGGUGCGACACCGUGUAGCCCAAUAUUUUCCCCUAGCGAACGCCGAAGACGCACUUUUCGGGGUUUAGGCGAAGUCGUGCGUCCCGCAUGUUCGCAAAUGUUUCGGUGAGGUCAGCCAGAUGGUCUUCCUUGCUUCUGCUGGCGACGACGAUGUCGUCCACAUACGUAAAUAUGUUUCUGCCGACUUGGCCCUCGAGCACUGUUUUGGUGAGCCGAGAGAAAGUGGACCCGGCGUUCUUAAGUCCCUCCGGCAUUCUGAUGGUAUUAUUAAUUCAAUCUGAUAUAACCAUCAGAUCUUAAGUAUUUAAUUAAUCUAGAGCGUACAUUAGAUUAUCAAACCAAAUCAACCUGACAUAACCAUCGAAUGUUCCGCUAUGCACCUUAAGCGCAUGGUCUGGGGCUUAAUCAUCCGAAUAACCAUCCGAUCUUCUGGUAAGCAUAGUAAGCGUAUGGUUCACGACUUCGUCAUCCGGAAUAACCAUCAGAUUUUCCAGUAAGCACUGAAAGCAAAUGAUCCGGGGUUUUGUAGGGGAAAUGUUGUUAGGUGAAUGCGGAUGCUGGCUGAUGUUGCACGUGCGAACUGUUGUGUGGAAGCUGCUAGGUCCUCCUCUAUUGUGCGUGGCUUGUGGCGGGCUUGGACUUCUCUCAUGGCUUUGGCGCUUGGAACUGUUCGUCCGUUCGGUCCUGCGUGCAUCUCUCUCUCCUGGCUGGAGGCGUGGUGGCCUGGUGGCUUCUCUGUGUUUUUCUUUUUACGACAGCUUCUCGUGUUGGCUAGGGUUGGUGUCAGGGGCCCGGUCAACUAUGCUCCCUCAGCUUUUAUAGGCAGAGCACCACAGCAGGCAGAGCAGAGAUAAAGAUUCCAACUGCAUCCAUCUACAAACAAGGCUCUCAGCGGAAGGGAUAAAAGCAUGCAGCGCAAUUGCUGCUACCGUGCUGCAGCCUUGACUCUCGUCAAUUGGAUGACCAAAAGAUGCCACCGUCUAAAGUCUUUUCUUUGUGCAGCUGCCUGUUUGUCACCAACACAAAAUUGUAGGUGCCUGUUUGUCACCAAUUAUCCUCUACCACAAAGAACUACAAUAGUGAUGGAGGAUCCGAUCCUGCAUAGAUCCACGAUAAUGCAUAGUGGGUGAUGCAUGCCUAAUGGUGGUUGUUUAGUGUUAGUUUUGGCAUGUUGGAACUAAGCAAUUGUCGAUGCCAUACGCUAGAAGUGAAGAAUGUUGUUAGCGUUAGGAGUAGAGGUGUCAAUGGGGUCUGAUACCCGUUAAGCCAUGGAGAAUUUCUCUAUUAGAUUUAGGGUAUGGGAAGAUUUUACUUUCCAUUUGUUGAAGUUAGGUAUACAUCUAUUUGAAUCAACAGUUACAGUUCAAUAGAAACUUCUUCCGCUCUAGUUUGUUGCGUGUCCUACCUUUUUCCUAAACUAGUUUUCCCUAAAUUGACAUACUCUCUAGAAAAUCUAUCCAAAUUUUGAAGAUCAAAUAUGUUCGAUUGAAUUAUUCAUGACAUAUAUCUUGGUAUUGCUUUUUUGUCAUCAGAAUAUAUUUUGAACUCAGUAAAAGUUAUACACGAUUUUUUUUAGACAAUACUAAAGCAAGUUGUAAUCAAGAACACUUGAGGUGUGCGCCAAUUGCCACAUUUAGAUAUAAUCAUUCUAAUUUUGGUCGUCCUAUGUGUGUGCAUUCAUCUAUGCAUUCUAGGAUUUCAAUUAGUUUCAAUCUUGUAGUAUUGGUUCCUUCAUUGUCAAAUCACUUCUCAUCUAACUACUAUGCUUGUUUAACCAUCAGAACAUAACUACAACAAUAUCCAUUUAUAAACGUUUUGAUAGCAAACUUUACAUAUUCAUAUCAUGUUAAGGUUGUCACAUGUGUAAAGGUGAAGAGAUCAUGCAUGUCAUUCCACGUAGAUGAAAAGAAUUCCUAUAUAAAAUGACACCUUUUCUUGUAGGUAGUGGAAAGUAUCUUUCCAGCAAAUACCAUAUAAUCCGAUAAAGCGGAUAACUAAAUGUCGAAAUCGAGUAGAUGCCAUAUCAUCUAUACCUUAUCUGUUGUUUGGAAAAAAGACAAAAUCCAAAAAAUAUAUUUGAGACCUCACCUGUAUAAAUAGCUCCCAAAUCAGUAGUUAAUCCAUCACCCAUAAUAUUUUGAGCAUUCAGAAACACACCAAGCGAAGCUACCUAGCAACGACUUAACAACAAUGGCUACCAAGAUAUUAGCCCUCCUUGCGCUUCUUGCCCUUUUUGUGAGCGCAACAAAUGCGUUCAUUAUUCCACAAUGCUCACUUGCUCCUAGUGCCAUUAUACCACAGUUCCUCCGACCAGUUACUUCAAUGGGCUUCGAACACCUAGCUGUGCAAGCCUACAAGCUACAACAAGCGCUUGCGGCGAGCGUCUUACAACAACCAAUUAACCAAUUGCAACAACAAUCCUUGGCACAUCUAACCAUACAAACCAUCGCAACACAACAGCAACAACAGUUCCUACCAGCACUGAGCCAACUAGAUGUGGUGAACCCUGUCGCCUACUUGCAACAGCAGGUGCUUGCAUCCAACCCACUUGCUCUGGCAAACGUAGCUGCAUACCAACAACAACAACAAUUGCAACAGUUUCUGCCAGCGCUCAGUCAACUAGCCAUGGUGAACCCUGCCGCCUACCUACAACAGCAACAACUGCUUUCAUCUAGCCCUCUCGUUGUGGGUAAUGCACCUACAUACCUGCAACAACAAUUGCUGCAACAGAUUGUACCAGCUCUGACUCAGCUAGCUGUGGCAAACCCUGCUGCCUACUUGCAACAGCUGCUUCCAUUCAACCAACUGACUGUGUCGAACUCUGCUGCGUACCUACAACAGCGACAACAGUUACUUAAUCCACUAGCAGUGCCUAACCCAUUGGUCACUGC